rnacentral:lncRNA from 1 species
UUUCAAUUCAAUAAACUCUGAUUCCUAUCAUGGUAUCAGAGCCCAUGGUAUCCGAUCCGGUACCUUGUGGCUUCUGUGAUUAGGUUUUUGCUUCCGCAAUUUUUCAUUCUCUUAGAUUUGGUUUCCCCCAAUUUCAAAACCCUAGGCCGUUUCCCCUAAUUUUUCAUUCUCUUGGAUCUGAAUCACUAGAUGCUGCCUCUGUAUCUCCUCGAGCUUUGUGUACGUCGAAGCCCGCUUCAUCCAUUGGUUUGUUCCCGGAUCUGAGAGGUCAUCGGUGUUUCGGUUCUUCGAUUUUUCGACGUCACUCUGGUGUAUACGUCUGAGGGGGUGAUGUCAGUGGUCUCUGGUCUGUUCCUCUCAUCCUCCAAAACGCAGUCGUUUUGUCCAAAUUCAGAUCAUCCAGCACUUUGCUUCAAUUUCAUAGCAUCUGGUAAUUUCUUCCUGAUUUAGGGAUAUCUGUCACUUGGAACAUGAAAUCUCUUUCUGAAAUACGAUUGUUCUGUCUGCUUCAUCAGUUUUCCAGUUUAUUUUUUUAUCAAAGUUUGUUUGCCGUCAACCAAAAGAAGAAAGGUGACGAAGCAGUUUAUUUUUCUUUUGUUUUGGACUGGUGAAUUGGGUUGAGAAGUUGGAUUGUAGAAUUGAUUUGAAUGGCUCUGUGUGCUGGUUAUGUUUAUUUUUGGGAGAUAGUUUCCUAUGAUCUAGUAUUGAAGCUAGCAGUUGGUAGUAUGGUUGGAAUGCUUUUCUGGUAGUAUUGCUGCAUUUGAUGAUGAGGACAGUAGAAGCUAUAUAUAUAUAUUAAUUGAUAUGGUUCUGGAAUCGCAUACUCUUGGGCUACUUAUGGUUUCAGCAUUCUUCUAUUGUGUCUUUUAAUUGCAAAGUAUAAAAGCUCAAUGAUAAGUUGGUAUUCUUGUUGAUGGAGACUACCAAGUUGUUGCUCUAUGCCUUGAGUUGCUCCGGAUUUCCAACUUUGCUGUUUGAUGCUUCUAUUUGAAUGAUGGUCCUUGAUGCAAUGAUGCUGUGAACUUGCUAGAAUUGAGAAUCUGCAAUUGGAGUUUCAUCUGCCUCUCACACAACUGCAUGUUUAAUCUCUUCAUACUAUGCAGAACACACAUCAAAUUUUGAUAUUAUCUCUCAGAUUUGGUAAUUCUAUCACUUGGAUUCAUGGAUUCUUUCUCUGAUUUGGCUAUUGUGCUCGAUAUUAUCAGUUUUCCGUUUCUUUUCUUUUAUCAAAGUUGUGUCUGCCAUCAACCAAAGAAGAAGGUGAUGAAGCAGUUUUAUAUCUUGAUUUUUGGACUGGUGAAUCGGCCUGAUGAGUUGGAUUAUGGUUUGGGUGUAUGGGUGUGUGUGCUUGCUCUGCCUAAUUGAGAGAUAUGGUGUUGAAAUUUUCAAGUUGCUAUGGAGGUUUUGUGGAUAGAUGUGUUCUGGGAAUAGGUUCAUGACUUUGGUGAAUAGCAUUCUGAAGAGGGAUUGGUUGUAGUUACUUGAAUGGCUGCUUGUCGAGAGGAGAUGACAAUAUUACUUCUUGUUGGUUAUAUGUGGUUGUUGGUCGAUGGUAAUUAUGAAUGAUUUCAAGAGAGUAAGGCCAUAAAAUUGUAGAAAAAUGAUUGUGGUAGUGUGCAGCCAUCAACAAUUUUCAAUGUAUCAGUUUUUCAAAUUUUCAGAGAUAUACAGAUUUCCAGAAUUGUUCAGUCUUUUAGAUGGUUUCUUUGCUGUCCUACUGCCAUGAUUAUCCUCUGCUCUACUGCGACCAACACAUCCUAAGUUUGGAAGAAUCACAUAAUGCUGUAGUGAUAUUGGGUUUUGAUUUUGGGAUGAUAUCUUGUAUUUUUUGGGCUAUAGUUGUGUAGUUUGCAGGCAACCAUAAUGCUUGUUACCAAGCAUAUGGUUGAGGAGGGGUGUUAAGAGUGUAGCAAUUGUAUUGCAAAAAGGUAGUAUAGUCAUCUUCUAUGAUUGCCUAUAUAUUGCUGUAAACCUCUCUUGCUGAUCUAAUACAACAGUCACACUGUAGUCCUCAAUCCUCUUCUAUGUUUUCUGAAAAUACUCGCUGAAAAUAUUCUCAAUGUCAAGAUCGAUAAUCCACAAUUAAACAAGAAAGUUAUAAAUAGAGAAUUAUCGAAAAUCUCAUUUUCGGAAAUCUUUAUAAAUCUCAAAGUCCACAAUAAAACAAUCAUAAUGAAAUCCGGAAUUUAUAAAAAUAUCCAAACUCAGAUAUCAAAUUAAUAAUCUAAGCUCAAAUCCAUAAUUUAUGACCAACCGUUAAUCAAUGCUUCAAACUCAAAUAAUUUCCAAGAUCAUCUCAUAAGCCGAAAUUAUAAUAUAAGCUCGGAAAAUAAAAUAAUAAAUUAUAAACACUCAAAUCUUUUCCGCUUAACCCACUGCUCUUACUAGGGUUAAGCUUACCAGAUUCACACCAAACUCCACCACAACCUUAAUUUAUCAAUUCUAACAUUCUAGAAUAAAUACUAAGGAAAUCUAACGGCCGGAUUUUUAUUCUAACAACCGCCAAAAUUCUCAAUCUUUGAAAAAUCUUAAAUCUAACCAAAACUCCUCCAAAAAUUUCAAACUUCACAUCAUUAAACUCUUCUCAUUAAAACAAACUAAAAAACAUCAAAAACUACCCCCAAGUGGCGGCGCCCCGGCGGCGGCCGGCAACCGAACUCCGGCGACCUCCAACGGCUACCAAAUUUUGACACAAUCUUCCUCUCAACAUUCCAAACAACUUUCAUAACUACCAUAUUGAUCAAUUUCAAGCUUAAACAUGUCAAUCGAAUCAAAACAAAAAACCCCAAUUUAAGAACCCUAGAAUUUCAAACCUUCGAUUCUCCUUACCUAGUUCGAGUUAGGAUGUAUCCUUUUAGGGGUUUACUGUUGGAAGGAAAAGCUUCAAGUUGAGACCAACAGCUCCGACUAUGGUGGCCGAAAAAGAGAGUUUCCGGCAAAACACCUCUACGGCACAGCCGCACCUUGCCGGCGAAACUGCUCUUUCACGGCGGCGCGACACGGGCUGCCACCUACCUAAACUUGUAGAGGAUGCCCCAAGCUUCAAAUUGAUACCAAGCAUGCCACCUAACUCAGUUGGAUGACGGCGAAGAAGUUCGGCGGAGGAGAGCGGGAGAGAGGAGAGAGAGAGGGAGAAAUAAUUUCUGAUUUCUACCUUACCUCUUCUGGUAAGUUUCUAUUUUUAUACCCCCAACCAAAAUAGUAACUUUCGUUUUUAGACCAUAACUUCUUCAUACGAACUCCGAUUUAAGCGUGCCACGUGUCUACGAACUCCGCUUAACGUCCUCUACGACUUUCAUGAAUAAAGUUUUCCCAAAUUUUAGACGAAAGAAAAAGUCAACUUUUAGAGCCUUAAAUAGUAAACGGUUACUCAAAACGGUAAAAGCCAAAGUAAUACCAAAAGUAAAUAACCGUAAUUUAAUUUAAGAACCGAGAUGUGACAAUUCUCCCCUCAUAAAAAUUUCAUUCUCAAAAUUUCAAAUCAUAAAGAACGGGGGGGGGGGGGNNNNNNNNNNNNNNNNNNNNGGGGGGGGAAGGCCUUUCAUCUCAGACUCCAAUAAACGCUAAGCUAAAUCAUCCUAUGAUCAAUGCUCUUCAAACUUUCUUCUAUCACAAAUUACACCUUUUCACUUGUGGAAACAAUUAGCCGAAUUCUUUUCCACUUACAUUGGCACAUCAUAACUUAUCUACCAAACUCAAGGCGUGCAUACGCUUUAAUAAAUCUCAAACUCAAGGUCAACUAAAUUACUCCGUCAAUGUUCCAUAUGACAUCACUCACAUAAUACACCUUGCUCCUUGACUUACCUUCCAUUAAUUGAAUGAUUUGCCUGAUUAUAAUUACUUAUGAUACACAAUCCCAAAUCUCACGGAUGACUUUGACUUUCGCCAAGUCAAAAUGGUCAAUAAACUUCGUGAUUCACAACACAAUCUUACUUUCGUCACCAAUUAAUCAAAACAAAACUCGAUCGUUCGCAUCAAAUAGGACUUUCACCACCUAUAUGAUUGACCUCGAUCGUUAAGCUGAUCGGCGAAUAUCUCCCUUGUCGCCAGAUUACGCUAAUGCGAUCUAUGAUACCAAACCCUUAUUCUGAAUAUCUCUUGUAUCUCAAAUCAUAUCCAUACAACAAUGACCUCCCAGGUCUUAUACCAAUCAAUAGUGGUCCCACCACAAUACGAUCAUGUAUGAAUAUGCAUCACAAAAAAGACAUUUAACAUUACCUGUCACAAUUUUACCAUUAAUGUCAAUGAACUGACAAGCCUUAACUGAAAAUAUUUCCUGAAUCAUCAAGAAUCUUUCCUUAAAGCUAUACCCCCAGCCAAUUAUAUUAUUAUUUCCAACAAUUCGCCCGGCGAAUUAAUCAUUACUAACCAAUAAUAACUUUCGGAAUCUCAUCCCUCAAUAAUAAAUUCAACAGUCACCACCACCGACUUACAAGCACAAGAAAAAUAUCACCCUCAAAAUCGAUCAACAUACCCGAAACUGUCACCUCCAAGAAUGAGAAAAAUACGAUGACUUGACGUAUUGACGUAUGACGAUACCUUAGAAGUUACGAGUAUCUCCUCGUACGAACCAAGUUCGUUCAAACUUGCAUGUAGACUAGUCUUUAGGUUAUAGUACCUAUUCCACGAAUAAGAAGAGAUGAGUUGUUCACUAUUUAUUGCGACAAUUCACGUUACUAUUACCGCAACACAUAUGUCUGCAAUUAUCACUUUCACCUUAAUAAUACCAGUUUAUCGAACGGAGGAAAAUCAAAAUAGUGAGUCUCACACAAGUCAACAAAAUCCAAGGAUAACCAUUGGAAAUUCACUAUUUGAUGACUUGCUUCUCACGUAUUAUCAUGUAUAAUUGUGACUACUUAUCAACUCAAGUCGAUGAACAAGAAUUUUCAAGUAACGGCCCCGCCAUUAAGCAUAACGUUAAGAAAAAUCGUCGCUGAGUUAUACUUCUUCUGCAUAAUUAUGCAUUGCUAAAGAUACCAAACAUCAAAAGAACCUACUCGCGUUUCCUGAGUAAAGCUUUGCCCCUGAAUUUCUCGUUAUCGUUAACGAAUGUCAAAGUCCCAUAAAUGAAUCGUACAAUUAAUAGCUGCCAAAUUACGGAAAUUCCCGCAUUAACUCUAACGUCAGAUCACCUUAGUUACUCACCGGAUAAUUGUACUAACAAACAGAAUACAAACUCUGAGUUGACCGAAUCAAGUGUCAGCACAGCUGAUGUCGAAUGCGAGUCUAUUGAACAACACUAGGUAGUCCUCUCUUGCUGCCUCCAUAUGAUGCAAAGUGAUUUUCUUUCUUCCAUUUGAUUGCUAGAAUAGACUAGCUUGAUCACGCAAGUCCAUAAUGUCCAAGGAAAAUGAGAGCACAAAACUAGAGUCCAAUGCUCAAGUCGCCAAAACUGUUAGAUGCCAAAGAUAAAUGCUCCUCGUAGAAUGCUGAAUUGUACGAAUACGUACAAAAAUCUAGAACGCCUUUCUCGAUAAGAUAUGACUGAUCAGCAAUCCUGUGUUGAGUUGCACCCUGUAAGGCCCGACUCUACAACUCAUGUCGAAUAUUUACGUAUAACAAGAACAAGUCGGUCUUAGUACACCCCAAGACAUCAACGAAACUCAUCGAUGGCCACGCUGCUCCAAUAGUUACCUCAAAGAAUUUGGGUUCUAAAAAUGCACUCUAACAACAAAUCACACUCUUCAUAUAAGUGAGACGCCCUGAAUCACCUCGAUUCAUAUGCUAACCCUCGAGCAACGCAGAAUUGACGAUCACUCCUUCUCAAGACUAUGCUUCAACCACAUCAUCGCCUGUGUAAUGCUCAAGUGGAAGUAUAGGAUUGUUCGAAUCUGAUAGAGCCUCGACAAUAACUUCCAAUCCCAACCAGUCAAUUUCACCACUGUAAUACUCUAAUAAGCAACUACAUUCGUGGGAUAGACUACCUCAAGAUCCACAUCUCACUCAUCCUCUUAGGGAUUAUUCGUAUCAGCUAAUAACAAUAGCUAAAGCGAAAAACAAUUAUUUCAAGAUCAAUGACUCCAAUUACACCGCUUAAACUAUCCUUGUGUAUCAUCAUACACAUUACCAAUCCAAAUUUAUCCCGACACUCUUCUCCUAACAAUCACUCGACCCGAUACCACGAUUUCCUAACUAACCACCACUUCGAAUUUACAACUUCAACCUUUCUUACGCCAAUGACUAAAGAUAUCAAAGAUUGAGAUUACCUUUAGACAAUAAGGGUUCGUCAGUAAUCUUUUGCCACAGUCAAAAGACUUGAAAGCUAGAAUGAGUCAUUUCCAAACACUAUUAUGUCCAAGACUAGCUUGUAUCAAUUAACCCAAAACAAUGUUGCAUAAAAUAAAUAUGGACACCCAUCCACACUUCUCCAAUUAAACUCUACAACUUCGGUCUCCAUAUUCUGAAUUGUUCUACAACUCUUUUUCCUUUUUACAAAACUGACACCUACCACAAAAGCUGCACUUUCCCUCUUCUCCACUUUAUUUCCCAAGUUCAGUUAUCUAUCAACAAACAAAUUGCUUAAAACAAAAUAAGUUCAACAUCUCCACGCAACAGUCUCAGAUAACUAUUAGAAUACGCAAUAAUUUCAUGAAUUAAAUUCUCCAUCUGCUGCCGUAAAGUCGGAGCACCCACAACCAUCUCACAUCCGUUUUACUAUUACAUUUCAAAGCCCUUUACACUUAUAAUCCAUCUAAAACACUCAACAUAAGUAGGAGGGUGAAUCCCACAUUACAGAUACAACCCUAAAUCGACCAAUAACAAUUCCAGAAACCACUAUUCAAUACAUAAAAAUUCGGGAAAAAUGCAUAACAGCCCUACAUAACACAUCCAGUAAUCUCCACAAUUAAUUAACUCAAGCAAUACCUCUCUACUAUUUAUCUCAAAGCAAGACAACACUUACUUAACUCCCUUAUAAUAUCUCUUAUUUCAACACUAAUCUUAUCUAGAAAUUUCUCAAUCCUUCAUUCACAUGCAUGUCCUCUCUAUCACUAGUACCCAUAAAAAGACUCAACUCGCUACUUAAAUAUAAGUCAACAACUCAUUAAAUAAGGAAUAAACACUGCAAAUCCAGCAACUCAUAACUGAACUCAAAAUCUCACAAAUUACUUACCUUUCCAUUACUCGGAAAAUAACCAAGAUACCAUUUGAGGUUGGCGUACGGAGGCAUAGUUUUGAAGAUGUAGACAUUUAUAUUUAUGACACAAUACUGUCCAUAAAUAAGAUAAGAACAACUACCUCACAUACCUAAUAAACACAUAGCAUCUGAUACAUAUAAUACUAAUGGAUCCGCCGCGGUCGGACCAUCACUUUAUAGACACUAAGUAUGACCAAGUAUAUGAGGUAGUGAUAGGAAUCGGAUAACCUAAGCUCAGAUACCAACUGUCAGGACCCACCCCGAAUUUCACCCUGAAUCCCGAGGUAAAUCCUGCAAGGUCCACCUCAAAGGAAAAUUCGGAAUCUACGUUGAAAAUGGACAACCCUUACCUAAAAAAUCCAACUUACACUUCUAUAACCAAACAAACCAGCCUCAACACCUGGAGCCCUCUUGCUCCCUAAAAUCAUCACAUCUCCCAAUAUAACAAUUACUCAACUAAAAUAAUCCCACAACCAACAACAGACAAUUAAUAAUUUACUACUGAACUUUCAGAGCAUAUCUAAAGUUGAACGAAAAACAAUGAAUAAAGAAUAAGCGGAAGCAGCCUCUGACUAUGCCUCGACUCCAUGUACUCUUGACCUCAUUUAAACUUAUCCUGCAUACUGGGCAUUUAAAACCAAAGGGUCCACCUCAAAGGAAAAUUCGGCAUCUACGUUGAAAAUGGACAACCCUUACCUAAAAAAUCCAACUUACACUUCUAUAACCAAACAAACCAGCCUCAACACCUGGAGCCCUCUUGCUCCCUAAGAUCAUCACAUCUCCCAAUAUAACAAUUACUCAACUAAAAUAAUCCCACAACCAACAACAGACAAUUAAUAAUUUACUACUGAACUUUCAGAGCAUAUCUAAAAUUGAACGAAAAACAAUGAAUAAAGAAUAAGCGGAAGCAGCCUCUGACUAUGCCUCGACUCCAUGUACUCUUGACCUCAUUUAAACUUAUCCUGCAUACUGGGCAUUUAAAACCAAAGGGUCCAGGAGAAAAUAAUUUAAAAACGUUAGAGUGAGUAAACAAAAAUAAAUUAAAUAAUUUAACAAAUAAAUAACUUGUAUACUUUCUCACGUUUCAACUUUUAAAACUUAACAGCAUGCAACUUUGAUAAUCCAAAUAACUUUAAAUCCAUAAUACCAUAAAAAUAGACAAACUAGCCCCGUUAGUUAAUCAAAUAUAGAAAUCUUGUAAGAAGAUAUAAACCAGCCCCGCUGGUUAAUCAAUUAUAUAACUGAGAAAAAUAAAAUAAGGGGAAGAGUUAUCACCAUGUAAAAGGAACCUCUAAGGCUCGGGUCGGUGCUUCCCAGGCUAUAGUAGCGUCCCACAUUAAUUACUCAAUUCACCUAUGGUGAUGACCGCUAAUAAGACUAGCUAGAAAUAAAUAAUAAUAUUCGAUCGGUGCCUCACAGGCUAUAGUAGUGUCCCACGCUAAGCUCGACUCAUCUAUGGUGAGGACUGCUAAUAAAACUAGCUAGUAAUGAAACAUGAACGACCCUAUAUUAUGGUUACCAAAAACAUACGAAAUCACUUAAAUCCAUUAAACUUUCCCAAGAUCAUACGAAUGGUACGGUUCCCAACCGUACUUGAAAAUUAUUAUAAGAAAUUAUAAUAAAACUCAAUGACGUGUCUCACACGUCAAUAUAUUCUCAAAUCCACAAUUAAAAACGAGAUUUAAUUAACAAGUAUUAAUUGUAAUUUCAAUCCAAAAAUACUCGUUGAAAAUAUUCUCAAUGUCAAGAUCGAUAAUCCAUAAUUAAACAAGAAGGUUAUAAAUAGAGAAUUAUAGAAAAUCCCAUUUUCAAAAAUCUUUAUAAAUCUCAAAGUCCACAAUAAAACAAUCAUAAUGAAAUCCGGAAUUUAUAAAAAUAUCCAAACUCAAAUAUCAAAUUAAUAAUCCGAGCUCAAAUCCAUAAUUCAUGACCAAUCAUUAAUCAAUGCUUCAAACUCAAAUAAUUUCCAAGAUCAUCUCAUAAGUCGAAACUAUAAUACAAGCUCGGAAAAUAAAAUAAUAAAUUAUAAAAUUUUCCAUGCAUAUUUAUUUAAAAUCAAAAUGUCCACUCACAAGUUUAGGCAUAAGCCCGACGAUAUCUGCAUCACCACUCAAGAAAUGUUCCCUUCAUAUCCUGGCACAAUAAAUAUGCUUAGGACCAAACUUUAAUUCCGAAAAAUAAAUACUUGAAUAUAAACACUCAAAUCUCUUCCGCUUUAACCACUACUCUUACUAGGGUUAAGCUUACCGGAUUCACACCAAACUCCACCACAACCUUAAUUUAUCAAUUUUAACAUUCUAGAAUAAAUACCAAGGAAAUUCAACGGCCAGAUUUUUAUUCUAACAAUCGCCAAAAUUCUCAAUCUUUGAAAAAUACCAAACCUAACCAAAACUCCUCCAAAAAUUCUAAAUUUCACAUCAUUAAACUCAUCUCAUUAAAACAAACUCAAAAACAUGAAAAACUACCCCUAAGUGGCGGCGCCCUGGCAGCGGCCGGCAACCGAACUCCGGCGACCUCUAAUGGCUACCAAAUUUUGACACAAUCUUCCUCUCAACAUUCCAAACAACUUUCAUAACUACCACAUUGAUCAAGUUCAAGCUUAAACAUGCCAAUCGAAUCAAAACAAAAAACCCCAAUUCAAGAACCCUUGAAUUUCAAACUUUCGAUUCUCCUUACCUAGCUCGAGUUAGGAUGUAUCCUUUUAGGGGUUUACUGCUGGAAUGAAGAGCUUCAAGUUGAGACCAACAACUCUGGCUAUGGUGGCCGGAAAAGAGAGUUUCUAGCAAAACACCUCCGCGGCACAGCCGCACCUUCCCGGCAAAAUUGCUCCUUCACGGCGGCGCGACACGGGCUGCCACCUACCUAGACUUGUAGAGGAUGCUCUAAGCUUCAAAUCGAUACCAAGCAUGCCACCUAACUCGGGCGGACGGCGGCAAAGAAGUCCGGCGGAGGAGAGAGAGAAGGAGAAGUAAUUUCUGAUUUCUACCUUACCUCUUAUGGUAAGUUUCUAUUUUUAUACCCCCAACCAAAAUAGUAACUUUUGUUUUUAGACCAUAACUUCUUCAUACGAACUCCGAUUUAAGCGUGCCACGUGUCUACGAACUCCGUUUAACGUCCUCUACGACUUUCAUGAAUAAAGUUUUCCUAAAUUUUAGACGAAAGAAAAAGUCAACUUUUAGAGCCUUAAAUAGUAAACGGUUACUCAAAACGGUAAAAGCCAAAGUAAUACCAAAAGUAAAUAACUGUAAUUUAAUUUAAGAACCGGGAUGUGACAUCUUUUGUGACGGCAAACAACGACUGCAAAAGCCGUCGCUUAUUUGGCACGGCAAGUGGCGACUGCUUCCACUGUCGCUAAUCAACCAUUGGCGACAGCAAACUUGGUGUGGCAAAUUCUGUUUAUGAANNNNNNNNNNNNNNNNNNNNUNUUUUUUUUGGACAAAAGCUGUGUAAAAAGAAAUUAAAUAUACUGAAGAAUUGUUACAUUCAAUUAGAGUCCUCAAAUGUCAAUCUUACAUCAGAAGAACUAUCAAUAUAAGCACAUCAAGCAGUAAUUUACAAGUGUUUCUACCAAAUAGUUCCUUGACACAAGCACAAAACCAACUAAGUGCAACUAACCAUGUCAAAGCCUCCAAAACCAAAGUUUUAAUUGUAGAUCAUGGUAAAUUAGAAUCAAAAUAGUACUGCGAGAGCGUAAGGAGAGUCUUCACCCCUGUCCGGCGGCGAGCCACGUCGCCGUCGUCGGACGGGUUUCUGUCUACCCCAUGUGGGUCUGGUGUGAGACCGGACUCUUCGAUCGUCGGCUCGUCCAGGUCAGAGAGAUUGCGGUGAGGGUCUGUUCGGUGAGAAUGGGGGAGAUCACAGUGGCCGGAGGGUUUCGGUUUGUUCCUCGUCGGCUUGACCUGCAACGUGGUGGAGUGAGGGAGAGCGCUUGGUGGUUUCUUCGAAGUGAUAUGGUCACAGCAUCGCCGAAGGAUUUCGGCUGGGUCUACAUAACCCGAUCUGGGUUUCUUCUACCCAACCGAGAAUGGAGCAGCGAUGGUGGAACGUCGAUGACAGGGAAUCCCAGGCGGUGGCGCGACAUGGAGCAGGAGUGGAAGGAGUUGGGCCAGGCCUUGCUUGGUGGCUGUGCUUCCCAUUGUCCUUGGGCUGGUGAUUGGGUUUGGGCUCCCUCAUUAGGCCCUGCCCUUGUUGCUUUUUCCUUUCUAGUUAUUUAUUAUUGUUAUUUAUUUUGUUUGUGUGUUUUGCAAAUAAAAUCCUAUAUUAGUUGUGUAGGAGUAGAGUUUGGUCCCGGUGCAGGCACUCUCUAUGUCUUGUCUGUUCUAAAUUGGUGGCAAGUUCCUUGCUUUGGCAAAUGAUUGCAACCUUUUAGUAACAGUAAUGUGUUUGUCCUAGUUAGGUGGCAAGUUUCUUGCUUAGCCAAGUGGUUGUUGCCUCCUAGUGACAGGAUGAAACUUAGUGUCAUUGGCUCUAUCUUCCGAUGGCAACAUAAUGGGAAAACCGAGUUAUUUGUCCUGAUGCUUCUUUGGAAUAGAGUUAUCUUUCCGUUAUGUCACCACAAAUGUAAAACGAAUAGAGUUGUCAAUCGUACACUCUUCGCUAUUCAGUGCAUUUUAGAAUACAUGUUUGUAGUUGAGGUUUCUAUUAUUAUCUCAGGAGAUCCUCUUUAUGCGUUUUGUAAUCUGGGGUUUAGGUAUUAUGUCCCCCCAUGUAUUCUGAGGUUUCAUUAAUCAAGGCUUGAGGGCAGCCGCACCGGCCCUUAUUUCAAAAAAAAAAAAAAAAAUCAAAAUAAAGUAGUAUGCAAGUCAUAUGACUGAUAUAAGAAUCAAAAUAAAUCAGACUUGUUGUAUUCAUCCAAUUCCAUCUUAUAAGUCUCCAUGGCUUCAGCAGCCUGGUCAUUCCACAACUUCCUCUCUUCCUCACUCAAUUCCUAUACCCAACAACAACACAAUGAUUAGACUCUAGUUCGGUUAAUGAAAAAGGACAUUGACUCGAAAAACCAACUGAAACAAAGAGUGUACCUUCCACUUAACUAAAAUGAGAGCAAUAAUGGUGGAGUUAUUGAUUCCUUGUCUCUCUAGUCAAUGUAGCAUCCACCACUACACUGGUAGGAUGGGUUAAAGACUAGAACCAAAAAGAAAAAGAAAAAGAAAACAUAACAGAUGCAGUUAGCAUAGUAAAAAACUAAAAACCAACAAGUAUAAAAAGAUCUUAGUCUGAUUAACUGAUAGAAGAAAAUUUGGAAAACAAAUUAGAGUACUCCAAAUCUCAACACCAUGUAUAGAUAAAAAUGCCACUAGUCUCAUAUGAGGACAAAAAAAACGGAAAAAGUAUCAAAAGGACACCAUGUAUUAGCGAAAAUGCCACUACUAGUAAACACCACGGCUUUUGGAUAGAGUUAGAGAUAGAGAACUCAAUAAGCACCUCAUAUAGAAAAGAGAUGGUAUCAAGUUACUCCAAUGUGAAAAACAUGCCAAAGAUACAAAAAUGACUGAAACAAAAAAAUAAUUAUCUAUGACGGUUAGGGAGAUGAUUAAAACUUCAAGCUUUACGCAGGAUUAUAUCACUAAUGUGGGCCUAUAAAGUUAUUUUUCAUCGCUGAACAAGGAAAAACAACAUAAAGUUGCUUUUGAUGAGAUAGGUAUAAGAAAUGCAUGAAAGACUAGAACAAAAAAUCGAACAGACUAACCCACCAACCAAGAUUAGAAAAGAUAAAGGUAAUCUUGUCUAUACUCAAUUACUCAUUACUAAAUCUGAUAUUGUUUAGACCAGAGUAUCAUGGUCAUACACACACAGAGCGUAUCAUAUUAGGGGAUAAAUAAAACAUUAAACAAAUACCCAAUUCCUAUAAUAUCAUCAACUUGAAUUAAAACUUAUAGAAACACAGAACAUGAGGCAAAAAUUUGCAAUUUGGGACCACUAAGAUAGCAUGUGCUGCAUAUUAUAAGCCAAAACAAGAACCUUGAUUCUGCAAAAAGAACAAUAAUCCCAAAUUCGUAAACUAAAUCCUAAUCAAAUCCAAGUCAGAGCAAACAAUAAUGAAAAAAACCAAGAACAAAAUUAAGGGUAAGAAUCAGAAAAACAUACCUAGAGACCAGUAAGGCAUUGGAGCCGGUCUUCCGAUGAAAGAACUGUACUGGUCAACCACAGCCAGCGGACUAGUCCUGGAAAAGAAGUAGAAAUCAAACACACCCCCAAUGACCUUAUACGUCAAAGAAUCACCUCUGGAAAUUAACAUGGCAUGAUUCAAUCCAAUGUUUAGUGUUAGUGACUUGGUGUUCCAUCUAAAGCUUACGCCUAAUAUUAGAAAACGAAAACAAAAAUAAUAAAGACAGUAAAAUGAAGGUACCAUUGGUGGAAAAUUGAGAAUUGAAAGGGAGAGAGAGAGAGAGAGAGAGAGAGCGUACGACGCUGAUGCGAGUCUUCCGGCUGAGACGGUCCUGCCGCAGUCGUCGAUGGCGUCGAGCAGCGCCUUCUGGAUCCGGUCCAGGCUGUCCCGGUCCUCGAUCCUCGCACCGCGGGAGUCGGUGACGAAGAACCGCUUCACGAAGAAGUCGCCUUCGAAUUCCACGGUGGCCUUGUCGACGCGGAGGCCGAGGACGACGCGCGUGAUGAUCCGGAGGAGGCCGAUGCGGUUGUGGGUGCGGAUCACGAAGAGCUUGGCUGGCGCGUCGCCGGACGCAGCGUCGGAGUCGGAGUCGGAUGAGUCUUUCUAGAGUUUCCGGCAGAUCUAGAGUUUCUGGCAUUGGCAGUAAAGGCAUCCGGUUGGCCUCCUUUGAGCUCGACGGCAAGGCAGCUGGGCUUUGAUUAGGGUUAUUAGGAACGGCGUCGUCUUGUGUGGGUGGUGUCUAGAGGCGGUGGCAGUGUUAAGGAGAAGAGAGAGAUAUUGGAGGAGUUGCGGGCUAGGACAGAAGAGAAAGUUUGAGGGGUGCUAGGGUUUCCUAGCAUUCCAUUUAUAUUUUUGUUCUGGAAUUGACGUAUUUACCCUCAAGACUACUAACGUUCCAGAUGAAUCGGUGUAGAGACGAAUGGCCAAGAUCACCCUAUUUUAAAAUUCUAAUCAUUUUUCUAAUGAUAAUUGUAAUCAAUUAGCUAUUUUGAUAUAUACGGAACUUUAAAAAAUCAAAAUUAAUAGCUUGGGACAUCAAAAAAUUUUACGAAAAUUCUCAAGCGCUUGUGAGUACAACAUGUGUCGAUCAAUGUAAAAAAUUCGGCACAUUUAUGUGAUAGGGUUCCUUUUGGAGAAACAUAAGUACAUAUUAUGUUGACUAGAUUGAUCGAUAUGAAAAUAAAGACCGUCCGAGUUUAUUUUUCUACACAGAUUUUAUAAAUACGUGUUAAAUAUAUGAGUGAUGUUAAAUUUAUCUAUUUUUUUAUGUUAUUACUUGGAUCGCUCAAAAUCCUUCUAUGCUUACUAGUGUGUAUAACAUGUUUAUUGGUUAUAGAGGAAAAUAUGCAUUUCAUAAUGAGCAAUAUCGAACAAACAUAAUAUUAAAAUUUUGACCGUUGGAUAUAAACAUUAUACGGAAAUAUGACUAUGGUAAAAAAAUUACAUGUUUUUGUCAUCGUUUUGGUCUCGAUCGACGCGGUCAACUCGAAACACUGAAUAACCGUCAAACUAAAACACUCGUAUCUACUUCCUCACAAAUUAUUUUCUUGAUAUUUCAACGCUCACACUCUCGUGGGGAUGAGAUGUAUCAAUCCAUAUAAAAAUUUUAGGACGUUUAUGUCCCCGUGAUAGAGCUCCCCUUGAAGCAUAAUCAUAUUCUAAGUUGACAAUUGAAAAAAAAAGAGAGGAAUAAUUGGCGAUGGUGAUAACUUGCCGUUGCUAUUGAUUACAAAGUUUGCCACGGCCUCUUUCCGCCGUUGCAAAUUUUUAUCCUUUUUAACCACGGCGCCCAUUUGCCGUCGCAAAGUUUACAUUUUCUUGCCACGGCUCCACAUUGCCGUUGCAAAACUUAACUUUUUUUGCCACAGCACAAAGUUGCCGUCGCAAAAUGGUUUUAAUUUAGCUAUGGAAACUUUGCCGUCGCAAAAAUUGGAUCAAUAGCGACGGCAAGUUUGAGCCGUGGCAAUUUGGGGUGACUAACUGAAUUCUUUUUUGUAGUGUUGGCAGGUAAAACUUAUUGCAAAUUUCAUAAUGCAUGGAGCCAUGAUACCUCUGAAUGUGUGUAGCUCAAAGACCAGGUGCAACAGUGGAUCAACAAAGGACGUUUGGUCAUGGAAGAGGGUUAUACAAAAGGACCCCCGGGAGUGAGCUUUCAUGUAGCAAUGGUGGAUGUUGUCUGGAAGAAGAAGUCUGACAAAAAAGUAGCGGAGGAAUCGCAUAAAGACGGCGAUGCCUGAGAGAAGCCUAAGAAGGGCAAGCAAGAAGCUACUCCUGAGGCUUCGAGAGUAUUAUUGUGCUCCAGGUGCAAAGUCGAAUGUGGAAUCCUGGUUUCUUACAAUGAGUUUGAGACAGCAAUCAAGGCGGUCGAAGCGAAGGACAAGCGCUCGUCGCCAGAUCAUUAUCAGCCAGCUAGCCCUACUGAGUCAUUAAAGCAAGCAGAGGUUGGAUUCAGGUUUCGCGAAUCCAAUCUGUACAAAAGAACUGCAAAAGCAAGGACAUCAACAGCCGGACCUGUACCAGAGGUUCAAAAGGAUAUCUUGACGAAGCCCUAUAUCCCUCUGGCAUCAAGGAGCAUAAUCAAAGAUGACACCUGAUACAUCAAGGAGAAUGGCAAAACUGUUGAGAUCAGCCAUACUAAGAUCAGGAACAUGCAGAAGAGGUAUGGCAGAGCAAAGAGAAAGCUGACAGCUCUAGAGCAGGGUUUGAUUAAACCAGAAGAUUUAAGUCAAACACCGGAGCAGCUGCAAAGGACAGUGGAUAUACUCAUUGUUAAACCCCACGUGCCAUUAAAAAGGAAUAGGGGGCAGAACCGCUCGCACCUCCUAGAGAAAGUGCUCUCAAGAGACUGUCUAGCACACUAGGUUCCCCAAAGAAAAAUUUGCACCUUCUACCUCAGGAACCAAACCUGUUACUACAGAGAUUGAGGCGAAACGAAUUAAGAAAGAUCCUACACCUAAAAAAAGGGUGCAGGAGAGGAGGCUCCAGUGGCUGCCCAAGUUGACUCAACCUAGCACUAAGGUUGUUUUAAACCAACAAGCUAAAGAGCCUAUACCUGAGGCUAAAAAUGACAACACAACGGAUACAUCGUUGGUUACAACCAUGGUCUAGACAUUCGCCGAGAUUAAUGCAACACCAGUUGUGUAGAUAGCAGAAAGUGAACCAAAGCUGGCUAUGGACGAGGAUAUUUCCACCGAUGAAGAGGAAGGAGAUGUGCGAAUGCACUGCAACAUGGUGUAUGUCCUCUCUUCCAAAUAUGCUUUGCCAAAGACAAGAGCAGUAUGUUCCGUUGCUGAGACUCCAAAAGUGGUGACAUAAGUAGCGUCAGAACUGGAGAAGAUCACAAUAGAUUCAACAACAGGUUUGUCAGCGAAUGGUCCUCCAGAGAUCACGGACGCCAUGUGGGAGUGGUACAUGAUGUUUUUGAGACCUUCGCCUGCGAUGAUGGAACACCUUUGACCUCUUUACGUCACAGUGGAUAUCAACGGUACAAAAAUCAGCAAGAUUUUGGUUGAUGCUGGAGCUGUAGUGAGUAUCAUGACAGUACGAACAAUGACCAUGCUCGGCAUAAAGAAAUUAGCUGUGAUUGAGAAAACUAUGACUGUCAAAAACUUUGUUGGUGGCGUUACAAAAACCUUGGGAAUACUGAUGGUUAGACUGAAGGUAGGUCCUUCGAAUAUCAUACAGGGUUUUUUCGUAACUGAUUGUACUGCUCCAUACAGUUGCAUUCUAGGCAGGGAUUGGAUCCAUAGAGCUGCUUGUGUACCUUCGUCAAUGCAUCAAGAGUUGCUUAUAUGGGAUCAGACUACUGGUCGUGCGGAGUUGGUUAAGGCUGACCCUAAGCCAUUCUCUGUAUUUGCAAAUGAGAUAGGCGCAGACUAUUACAGCAGCGAUUUGCGUCCUUUAACAGUGGUCGGCAUCGACCAAAGUGGAAAACCGAUUGGGGUUACGUCCACCGAGUUAGCACAGUGGGGAAUUCUCAAGUCAAAUUUGAUACAUCUAGACCUGGCCUCAUGGUGCCAAGUCCAACCAAUAAUCAAUGUUAACACACCUAGAAGGAGAAGAGUUGCAAGCGUUCGAGUUUCUACAUCAGCGUUUGGCUAUACAUAUGGAAGAAAGGGAAGCUUACGAACGGCUAGCAACUAUUGAAUGUGUCCCUAAAGAUGUGUUAGAGGUGAUUGAUGAAGAGGAGGAAGUUAUCUUACCAGCUCCAGCUGCACUAGAUGACACCUCACCUCAAGUUAAAGAUCCGGUAGAAAAAGUCAACCUGGGAACUGAAGAGGCACCCAUGGAGGUUGGACUUAGUACGUUGUUAGAGCCUGAGCAACGACAGGGGCUCAUUGAUUUACUUUUAGAAUUUAAAGACUGUUUUGCAGAGAAAUACGAAGACAUUCCGGGUUUGUCACCCAAGUUGGUUUGUCACCGCUUGCCUACCACACCAGGGGAAAAGCCGGUGCAACAGGAACCGCAACGAAUGAAGACAGAAACAGCGGACGCCGUGAAAGAGGAAGCAGAGAAGAUGUUCAAGUCGGGCAUCAUCAGAGUAGCAAAGUAUAAUGAAUGGCUAUCAAACAUAGUUCCGGUUCGCAAGAAAAAUGGCAAAAUACGGGUCUGCGUGGAUUAUAGAGAUUUGAACAAAGCUACUCCGAAGGAUGUGUACCCUAUGCAUGUGGCCGAUAUGCUCAUUGAUGUUGUCGCUGGACAAAAAUACGGGUCUGCGUGGAUUAUAGAGAUUUGAACAAAGCUACUCUGAAGGAUGUGUACCUUAUGCCUAUGGCGGAUAUGCUCAUUGAUGAUGUCGCUGGACAAGAAAUGCUUUCUUUUAUGGACGGUACCGCUGGUUAUCAUCAAAUUCCAGUUGCUAAAGCAGACAUACACAAAACAACAUUCCGGUGUUCGGCUUUCAUAGGAGAUUUUGAGUACAUAGUAAUGCCUUAGCGAGCCAUAAACCUGAUUUUCCAUGAUAUUAUUGGUAAGAUUUUGGAGGUUUAUAUCGAUGACGUGAUAGUCAAGUCUAAAGUCAAACAUGACCAUAUUGCAGACCUCAGGAAAGUGUUUGAACGCAUGCGAACACACAGACUUCGAAUGAACCCCGCCAAAUGUGUGUCUGGGGUAUAGGCAGGAGACUUUUUGGGUUUUGUCGUCCAUCAGAGGGGCAUUGAGGUGUCUGGGGAUAAAGCCAAAGCCGUUAUUAAUGUACUCGCUCCAAAGACUAAGAAGGAGUUACAACAACUGUUAGGCAAGAUUAACUUCCUUAGGAGAUUCAUUUCAAAUUCAGCUGGGAAAGUUAAACCUUUUUCCUCUCUGCUGAAACUACAGGGUGCCAAGGAAUUUGUCUGGGAGCCGUGUCAUCAAGAGGCUUUCAAUAGGAUAAAGGAGUAUAUGGCGAACCCCCCAGUUCUCGUUCCUCCUAAGCUUGGUAUCCCUUUAAAGCUCUACAUCUCGGCUUCUGAGAGUUCUAUUGCAUGCCUUUUGGCUCAAGACGAUACUAACCAAGAGGGUCGAACCAUUGAGCGCGCCAUUUAUGUCACACCCUAACACGGAUUAACCUUCUAAUCUCGAGUUGAGGUGUGAAUCACAUCUUAAUUAUAGAAUCGAGUUUCUAUAAACAAAACGUGACAUAGAAAAUAAAACAAAAAUUGAACUACUAGAUUCCAAAGUCUCACAAUUUCAGUGGAAGCAUAUGUUACAUAACAACAAUUUUACAUAGUACACUAAUACUCGCUAUUUAUUCCAAAGAGCAUAAAUAAAACACCAACUUCACUCCUUACUUGAUAAAGUUACACAAACGAACUUCCUCCUCUAGUGUUCAUUACCUGCAAAAUCUGUUAAGGGGUGAGCUCAACCUGCUGCUCAGUAGGGACAUAAAACCUUUUCAUGGAUAAUUGAACACAAAAGGCACUAUCAUGUAUUUCAGUUAUAACAUGCAUAUCAAACAAUGGUGCAAUGCUACUCCACUUACAUACUCGUUAAUCGAUAUGUCAGAAUACACAAGCCUACACGUCUCAUAUCGUGUACUUUACAGUUUUACAACCGUGACUUGAAUAUCCAAACAUAUAAAUUAACUCCCAGACUCGAUCAAAACCCCAUACCCUUCUUUUGCUAGUCAUCUUGCCUGAAAACAUUGAUCUCCAAGCCCAAAUCACCCAAACAUAUCGACAAUUAUACCGCCGAUAUUCUAAUCCUAAUGUGCACACAGGCUCGCGUGAGCUUGAUCCCUACAAUGUUCAGACUCAACUACACAAAAGAUUACUCCUAAAAUCACUAAAUAUCCAUUAGUCCACCCCAACUCCUUUACACUUGAUAAACAACAUGCUAUAUGCAGACAUGCAUACUGAAAUGAAACACACAUAUUUCAUACAUAGAAUCCAAAUAUCAUCAAUGAAAUCAAGACAAACAAUGUUAACUAAAAUGACAUAACAACUAAGCACACAAAAUCAGUAUCCAAUCAUAAAAAGUUCUCCCCAAGAUCCCCCUACCUUUGUCGAUUCUCACAACAAAUUCCUGACCAAGACAACAAGUACUGUUUAGUAAUGCAACUCAUUAGUUCCAGUACUCUAAAUAUAAAGUAUUUAACUGAUAAAACACCCAAACAAACAUGACAAGUCAGUUGAUCUGAAAACAAGUUUACUGAACACAAAGAACUACUGCAGUUUUCUGACCCAGUCACCUUCACCACAAAAACUGUACAAAUUCAUAAGGAAUUUGACUUCAUGGCCUUCUAAAGAAAUAUACUAGACAUCCUAGAGAAGCUUUCAGAAUUUGAAUCACCUCAAAACGAUUUUUCUGUAAUUAGAUAUGCAAUUUCAAAGUUCAGUAACAGUUUCAGGUUUUUCUGAAAAUUUUGCUAAAAGUGCCUAAACUUUGUUUUCAAAAGCAAAACAUAAACUCUGUGAUACAAAACUUCUACGAACUGAACAUAAACACUCCAAUGUUUCAAAAAGAAGGAAAAACACACAGAACUUGCAACUUAAAGACUAACUAAGAUCACCACAAAGAUUGCUAACCGAAUGUAAUAUACAACAGUCUUAACUUCUAAAAUUUCAACAACUUUAAGCAAUCUAAAAUCAUGGUUUCUACUUUCAAAUUUAGGAACUAAUAACAUGUAUGAGAACCACAUAAUCUAAUCAUUACAUAUGUACAAUCUCAUAUCAAAACAACCACGAUUCAAAAACAAAGAGUGCAAUUAAAAACAGAAAUCUGAAAUCACAAACAACUUCCUAACUUUCUAACCAGUAAACUUUAUGGCUAAAACCUAAAAAUGACACAGCUUGGCUAGGAAUUUACAGUUGAUUUCUUCAUAACAAUUGUAAUAGACAUCCUAAAGAUCAAUCAGGAAUUGGAAUCGCACAAAAAAGAUUUUUCUACAUUUACUUAUGAUUUUUCGAAAUUCAGAUACAGUAGAGAAAAACUAAUGACGUAAGUCUAUGUCUCAAGUUCUAAGUAAAGGGUUUAAGACUUGAGAUUUUAACAACAACAUCAUAAACUUGAUUCUCUACCUGCUAAUAACAUAAAGAACUGAUCUAGCUAACAAAAAAAUCAAAUCAAAGAUUACCAAAACCAAAUGAUUUAGUAAUCCUACUUGCCACAGAAUUCAACAACAACAAAACCAAAACCAAAACCAAUACUUAAUAGUAACUAUACAAACAUUCCAUAAUGAUUUCAAAUUCUAAUUUCACAACUAAAAGGAUAUAAACACAAUCAAUUAGUCUGAACAUAAAGAGAAUCUAACCUGAAUUGUUCUUCCUAUGUUCCUACGACACCAGUGUAUCUCUCCCUCUCUCUCCAAGUAUGAAGGGACUUCUAAAAACCUAUCUAAAAAAUGGAGAACACUCUACCUAUUUAUAGUGUCUGGAAAGGGGAAAACUUGGCGUCCAAGACACAAACAAUGGAAGCAAAAUUGAAUUAAACAAUUGGAAUCUUACCCGUUUAGGUACUAGACUAGACCCCUAGGGUUCUAGCUCCUACUGUGUAGCUUCAAGGAGUCAUAGACUACCUUAUUUUCUAACAUUGCUUGGUCUUCUUCUCCAGCGGUGACAAUUUUAUGUUGGUAGGGUGGUCAUUCUAGAAGAAAACAUAUUUCCAACCGUGGUGAUGGUCAGAUUGGUGUUUCCCAUAAUCCUCCUAUGCACUCCCUGACAAGAAUCAAGCAUGAAGGCAUCCAUCUUUCUUGCCAGAUCGUACUAGGAGGUGUACCUGAGGUUAAAUCUUGAAACUUAACCCAGGUUUGAGGUUAGAUCUUGAAACUUAAGAGUUUCUAUUAGAAACUAAGGAAGUCUGGGGAAAAAAAUUUCAAGGAAAGGAAAGAGAUGAAAGAAGAAGAAGAAGCCAUUGUGUUUGGUUUUUUUGCAGAGAGAGCCUAAUCUUCCUUCCUUUAAAUAGAGGAAUAUGCAUGGGUGUAUGUGGUUUGAAACGUUACGCGGUAAUUAAGGCCGAGUAAACGUUGCGGUUUUCAAAACCGUCAUAUUGGCCAGUUGUGCAGGCACGAGAGGAUCAAGGAGAUAUGGUUGCCUUUUCAAAUCUCAGUUAUAACUGUGGAGUUAAUGAUUUGGUCCUGGGCCUGGGAUUGUUGACUAAAUCAUUCAAGGUUUAAAAAAGGCAGAUUGGGCUUAAAGAAAGAAAUUCUUAUAAAUAGAUAAAGCCCAUAAAAGGCCCAUGGUUUACAUAUACAUUCAUACAAGUCUGCCCAGGAGAUGGAUGUCAAGCAAGGUACGCUUUAGGUCGGUCCGGCUGGCUUCAGCGUCAUCUUUAGCCAUCUUGGUUGCCUGAGCAGCAGCAAGGGUCGUUUCUUUGAGUUUCUGGAGCUCGGGAAUUUUGGUUUUGACAGCUUGUACAUGCUGAGUCUUCUUCUGUUUAGCAGCCUCGAUUUUAGCUUGUAUAUCUGCUCGCUGUUUUUCUAAGGAUCUGAUCUCAGCAUCAAUUCCAGUAAGAAUGCAACUGUGCUGAGAGUUGAGUUGUUCCUUUUCGCUCCGAAACUUCUCCUCUAAGGCUGUCUGUUUUUGAAGGCACUCGCUUGUGACUUGUUCCUUUUGGUGCAAGGUUUCUUGAAGAUCAGGAAUCUGUUCAAGUCGAAACUUAAGGUCCUCUAGAUGCUUCAUCUCUGACUCGUUCGCGCAAGAACACAGGGUCGCUAUGGCUUUGGAAAUCUGAGGCAUGCAUUCUUCGUCCGCUAGGUCGAUCUGUUCCAAAUUACCUAGUAGAUUCCUGGCAUCAACCACCUCUGGAGCAAGGGAGGGCAUCUCUAUAGCAUCCAUCAGAGCCACCUCCAUAGAGGUUUGGGGUGAUGACACAGUAGGUGGAUCUGAACAAGUAGUGUUCAAAGUUUCACCACUCGCCGGAACUGUUUUCGCCCUCACAGAUGUUGCUUCUGCUGCAGCAUCAGCAUCAGAUGCCUCUAGGUCAAUUUCCUGCAUAUUCUGACAAUUAAUUACUACAGAUCAAGGACGAAAGUUACGAAAGGAGUUUAAGAAGUUUACCUCAGUAGCUUGGGGGGUAAAGUCUUCUCCUAUAUCUGUUUCCUCCGCAGCAGCUAAACAUUUGGGAUCUUUACCCAGAGCACACUUCAAUAAAUCAAUAAUCUGCAUAACAACAAGCAGCUUGAUAGUUGGAGCAAGCUUUGUAGAAAGAAGGGGAAAGAAAAUUGAGCUUAACAAAGCCCCAGCAUUCAUGAUAAUAUGGGAAGAAAGCUAACCUCCAAUGCAACAGACUUUGCCAAAUCCAGGCUUCCUGGGGAGCUGGCAACUUCGUCCAGGUAAGAUAUGCUUUCUGCUUCACAGAGAUUUAACAGCUGCAACAAGCAGAUAAGUGAGUUUCUGCACAGCAGUGUACAUAAAGCUAUGACCAGAACCAAAUUCUGAAGCAGCUUAAGCCCCCAAGUAAACUUUUAACAUUUAGAUAGUAUAGUUNNNNNNNNNNNNNNNNNNNNNNNNNNNNNNNNNNNNNNNNNNNNNNNNNNNNNNNNNNNNNNNNNNNNNNNNNNNNNNNNNNNNNNNNNNNNNNNNNNNNNNNNNNNNNNNNNNNNNNNNNNNNNNNNNNNNNNNNNNNNNNNNNNNNNNNNNNNNNNNNNNNNNNNNNNNNNNNNNNNNNNNNNNNNNNNNNNNNNNNNNNNNNNNNNNNNNNNNNNNNNNNNNNNNNNNNNNNNNNNNNNNNNNNNNNNNNNNNNNNNNNNNNNNNNNNNNNNNNNNNNNNNNNNNNNNNNNNNNNNNNNNNNNNNNNNNNNNNNNNNNNNNNNNNNNNNNNNNUAUUUCUAUGCAAAGCAGCAUGUAAUGAUCAUUUUCUUCUGAAUAGUACCUUAGGAUGUGCGAGCAAUACUUGAACAAGAUCUUGCCACUGUGAAGAUAUGCAUCCAGUAAGUAGAUGUAAAGUGCACGCCACUAGUGCAGAAUGCAUCAGCGGUGCCAUACCAAAAUUAUUACUUUUCUGCAUCACGAAAGCAAGUCUCAGUAAAGGUAGCGAGAAAGGAGCAUAAAUAAAAGAAGCCAAACCUGUUCAUAACCACUAAAAACAAUGAGGAUAUAGAACACCAGGUCAAGCAGCUGUUCUGACACUUUUACAUCAUCGAGCAAAAUCUGUAACCAUAAAUGAUACAAUGAAAAAACAUAGUUCAGGAGAGAAAUAUGUCUCAUUGUCAUGUCCUAAUAUUGACAGAGUAAGUUUUGAACUGACAAAAUUAAUGGCAUAAUGGACUUCAUUAAGUGUUCCAUAAACAAGAGAAUUGACUGCUAUCAUAGAAUAAGACUUAGGCCGAGCUAUGGACAUUGUAUUUAUUGGCUUACAUUAAAAUUAAAGACUAUGUCAUCACAAAUUUCAAACACCAAAUAGAAAUGCAAUUUAUAAUUGAACAGACCAACAUCAGAUAAAACUCCAAAUUUUUGCACAACAUCAUUAUAAUCAAGAAAGACCCUAGUACUCAAAAUGGAAAAAAUAGGGGAGAGAGUGAGAACAUCUGUUUCCGUUUGUAGCCAGAUCGACUAAAAAACUCUAGACAAGAAAAAGUUUAACAUGACAAAAGACAUCUUAUAGAAAAUCUAUCGAAUCUAAUAAGUCACAUGUAGUUAAGUCACCAAAUCAAAGUUGACGGUUGUUUAAGCGAGUAGAAAACAAGAAAAAGAAUUCAAAGAACCAAACAGAAAACACUAAAUAUAGACAGAACAUGCAACAACAUACCUGUUCAAGUUUGGGAUUUCUAGGUGCUAGGUCGCACAAGGAGUGCAAGAGCCUAAUGCCACAUAAUAAGUAUCUGAAUAGGGCUUCAUCUUGUUCAGAUGACAUAAGCACUGCAAUAAGGUGCAGAGGGAGAAAACUGGCAAGCUUUUCAACGUCAAUCUGAAACACAAGACAACUUCAGAAACGUCACACCCAUGAAAAGGAGAUAACAUAACAGCAAUAGCAAUAUGAUGAUGACUGACCUUCAGGAGUGAUUCCUUUUCAGUAACAUACUGUAUAGUAAAAUUAUCAGAGUCCUUCAAUAAUUUACCCAGUUCCUGAGAGCUAAGCCCGUGUAACUCCUUUACUGCAGAAACUAAGUCAAUAACCUGCUUCAUAUAAACAACCUUGUAUUAGUUCAUGCUAACAAACUCAAGUCGAAAAAAGAGUCUAAUUGGCCAUCUUAAUGAACAAAAUCAACAAAUGACCGAAUAAAGGAUAAAACGGAAUCAUUCAUACAGGUAACGUUUAGUAGUUGAGAUUCUUACUUGCAAAGCAUUGCAUGACGACGGCUCUUCCUUAACAGGUCCCAUUCUACCAAACCAAAAUCACCAAUAUGCACUGACAUAAUGCCGAUAGAGAUAAGAACAUUCAUUAAAAUUACAGAUAGCAAGUGAAGUUAAACGAUGAGAAGCUCAAUUAUACACAAAUUCAUAUCAAUUAAUAUUUCUACUAAGAAAAAGAAAACUAUCGGAUAAUUAGUGAAGUUUCAAUCCUUUUCUUUGGAAAUCAAAACAGUAAAAUCAUAAUAUUCAAGUUUACAAUUAACAAAGUAUAAUGAUCCGAAAAUACUUAUACUGCAACUGGAAUGAGCAGAAAAGAUCGAAUCUUUAUCAACAACCCACAUCAGAAAACCCUAAGUUUUCAUCAAUCAAACUGAAUUGAAACUCAAAAAGCGCUGCAAAUGGUUUAACAGUCUCAGCUAAACGAAAACAAACACAUGAAUUCACAGAGAGCAUGAAAGUGAAAUCGACCGGAACUCAUGAAUACGACUAACGAAAGCUGAUCUCGAGUAUAAGGAACUCACCGGAGAAGUGUACCGGCGACGAGAUUGGACUGCGAAUCUUCAAGCUGGAAAAUUGAGAAGAGAAAAAUAGGAGAGAAGAGGGAAAGAAUGGAGAGUUCGCGGGUGUUUUAUAUUUGGUUUGGGUGGGAGCCAAGGAUUUGAGAAUUGAAAGAUUGAGAGGAAUGAGAAUGAGAGACAGAGAGUAGAAUUUAUCCUAGUGGUGUAGGCUGGUUUUGGUUAUCUGAUGUUUCUAUUUGGCUUAGUACCCCUCUAAUUUAGGCAGCUGGAGUGUGACUACUCUGACUCCACAUUUGAAUAAAAAUACGGCAUAGAAUGGAAGCAAGGACACAAAAAUUUGCACGAGUACAAGAAUUUAGAUCACCUUAUCAAUUAGUGUAGGGAGAUUAUCGGAACGCUGCCCCUCCAAGGCUCUAAUUAGUGUAUAAGAGUUUCACAUCUAGACUAUUACCAACUUAAUCAAAUUAUGUGAUUAGUUUUACUCUAUGACAAAGCUUAUCAGAAGAGCACAAAGAGUUUGGGUGUGUUUGAGUUUGGUGUUUUUGUUGGUUCUUGUCUUAUUUAGGGAUCAUAUUGUGGCUCAAAAUAAUAUUGUCUUGUCGAAAAUGCACUGAGACCUUUACUAAUAACAUCGAUAUUGUUCUCACCUAACCAAUAUGAGAUGACGAGAGCUAAAUCUUAUCCUCAAAAUGCUUUGCUCCGGUUUAAGGAAUGCAUGGUCAUUGUCUGUCAGUGUAUCUGGUCACUACAAAUGUCAUUUUAUUUCUUACUAUUUUUUAUAGGACAAUUUAUUCAAAUUUAAUGUUUUCUUAAUAUAGUUUAAGACUUUCCUAAAUAACACCGAUAUUGUUUUGACCUACCACUUAAAAAUAACGAGUGCGAACUGUUAUAGCAAAAGACUUUAAUACAAUUUAAGAUAUAAUCUUACUACUCUUGACAAAAGCUUAGGAUAGUCAUAAGUGUUUCUUUUUGCCUUUUUGGUAUCAAAUUUAACGAAAAUUUUUAUAAGUGCAUGUCUAAACACAUCAAACCAUGUUAACUCUUUUUCUAUUAUUCAGAUUUUCGUAUACUAUAAAUUUAUUUUAUAGUUUAACAUGGUUUUCAACUAUAAAUAAUCGAGUCGGAGCUUAGAUUUUGUCCAGCUUGUAAAUUCGGCAAACUCUGAUCGGAAUUAAAUCUCCCUUUUCUGACGACACGUAAUAGUGUAAAUGAUAUUUCAAAUGACACAAUCGGAAAAUAUCUACCAAUUUCUUUUCCAAAACGCUUCCGUAGGAAGGCGAGUCAGGCUUUUGAGGAUUGAGGAAUCUAGUGAUAGAGGGUCGCCGCUGGCGGCCACCGGAGUGGUGAAUGAUGGGGCUAUUUCGCCAAAGCACGAUUGUGAAUACCUUAUACCGCGCGGGUGAUUGACUCGUAAAUAUAAUGAAUGAAGCUAAGAAACAAACGGUUUCCAUAAAAUAAAUUAAAAUACCAUGAAGUCCCGCUUCCACUCUUUGCUCUCUGCUCAGACUCAGAGACACCAACUCCUCCACUCACUCUCUACUAAACCCAAAUGGAACUCCAAGACCAAUGUCAUCAUCACCAACCCAACUCUCCUAAUCCUGGAGUCUUGCACCACCAUGCUCCAGUUGAAGCAAAUCCAAGCCCAGAUGACCUGCACCGCCCUCAUCACCCACACCUUCCCCGUCAGCAGAGUCCUCGCCUUCUGCGCUCUCGCCGACGCCGGCGACAUUCACUACGCUAAUCUUAUAUUCACGCGCAUUCAAAACCCCAACACUUAUAUGUGGAACACCAUGAUCAGAGGCUACUCCAAAGCUCAACUCCACGCCACUGCGUUCUCAUAUUUCUGCCGAAUGGUCCUUCAACGCGUCGAAAUGGACAGCCGGAGCUUUGUGUUUGCGCUCAAGGCUUCUGGGUUGGUGGGAGAGUCGGUGCAUUGUGUGAUUUGGAAGAUGGGUUUUGGUUCUGACUUGGUUGUAAGAAAUGGGUUGGUGCAUUACUAUGCUGAAAGUGGGUCUGUGAGUCAUGCACGGAAGGUGUUUGAUGAAAGUUCUGUAGGGGAUGUUGUGACUUGGACGACUAUGAUUGAUGGGUAUGCGGGGCGGGGUUGUUUUAAUGAGGCUGUGGAGUUGUUUGAUGAGAUGGUGUUGAGUGGGGUUGAGCCAAAUGAGGUUACUUUGAUUGCAGUGCUUUCGGCGUGUUCGAGUAAGGGGAAUAUUGGUAUGGGGAGGAGUGUUUAUGAGUAUAUGCGGAAGAAGAAUGUGAGCUGUGGCUUGAAUUUGCUUAAUGCUUUGGUGGAUAUGUAUGUGAAAUGUGGUUGUUUGGCUGCGGCGAGAGAGGUUUUUGAUGACAUGAAAGUGAGGGAUGUGUUUACUUGGACUAGUAUGGUUAAUGGUUAUGCUAAAUGCGGCGAGUUAGACGCUGCAAGGCGGUUUUUUGAUGAUAUGCCUGAAAGAAAUGUAGUGUCUUGGAGUGCGAUGAUUGCUGGUUUUGCUCAGAACAAUCAACCUAAUGAAGCGGUGAAGUUGUUUCAUGACAUGGUGGAGUCGGGUUUGGCUCCGGUAGAGAGUAGUUUAGUAUCUGUGCUAUCUGCUUGUGGUCAGUUAAGCUGCCUGGAUUUGGGACGGUGGAUUCACCAGUACUAUGUGGAUGGUAUUCGUAUUCAAUUUAGUGUGAUUUUGGGGAAUGCAUUGAUAGACAUGUAUGCCAAGUGUGGGAGUCUAACUUCUGCUACAGAACUUUUCAAUCAAAUGUCAGAGAAAAAUUUGGUUUCUUGGAAUACCAUGAUUGCCGGAUAUGCUGCUCAUGGCCAUGCUGUGCAAGCUCUUACUCUAUUUGACCAAAUGAAAAGUACUGAUAUGAAGCCUGACCAUAUCACAUUUUUGGCAGUCUUGUCUGCUUGCAGCCAUGGCGGAUUAGUUUCUGAAGGCAGAGAGCAUUUUAAAAGCAUGAUUAGGGAUUACGGAAUAGAGCCCAAAGUGGAGACUUAUUCUUGCAUGAUAGAUUUACUUGGAAGAAUUGGAUUGCUGGAAGAAGCUUAUGAGUUGAUAAACAGAAUGCCAAUGGAACCAAAUGUGUCUGCAUGGGGCGCCCUUCUGAAUUCAUGUAAAAUUCAUGGGAAUGUUGAGCUAGCUAAGCUUUCUGCUCAAAAGCUAUUAGACUUGGAUCCAGAAGAUAGUGGAGCUUAUGUGUUGCUGGCAAACUUAUGUGGUAUCAAGCAAAGAUGGGUGGAUGUAAGAAAUGUCAGAAGCCUUAUGAAAGAGAGGGGAGUGCAGAAGAAUCCUGGGCAUAGCUUGAUAGAGGUACAGGGUCAGAUUCAUGAAUUUUUGCUGCUGAUAAAUCCCACCCUCGAUCAGAAGAGCUUUGUAGAGUUUUGAAUGAAAUUUAUAUGUUCUCCAAAUCAGAGUUUUCUCUGCGAAAACAAUUUGAUGAACUUUUAUGCAUAUGAUGAUAUAAAACUUAACUAUAAAGAGCGUAAAGAUACGAAAUUGUGAGUUUGUGACAUUUUGUCAUAGUUGCAUCUUAACUCAAAAGUAAACACAUUAGAUGGUCUAUCUGUUCUAGAUCACAUAACGUUUUCCUUGGUACUUUUUGACAGAUAAACACUCGCAGGAUCGUUUAUGACACCCAAGAAAUCAUCUUUGAUGGUACCAAUGCAGAAAAUUUGGGUGCACUCUACUUGAGUUCCAAUUAUCUUCAACCGCACUUCACUAUCUCUCUGAAUCUUAACCGAUCCAUCAGAUGUGGUAUAAUUUGGCAUAUCUCCACAUUGGAACUCCAUAUCAUCCGGUAUCAAAUGGUUGGAAACGAAGAUUUGAACCGGACCAGCCUCAGCGAAAAAUCCCAUCUUGUUCACCAUUGUAACUACAGCUUCUAAGAUCUCUCCUUUAAAUGGUCUGCAAACAACACACUGGUAUCUCACUGGGAAUGAGACAAACCCCGUCCCAUUAACAAUCAGCCCUUUCCCAAUGUUCUCUAUUCCCGUAAUUGCAACCACAAACCCAUGCUGCUGGCUGCAAGUUCCUUUGUUGGCAUCUUUGAUGAGCUGCGUCACUAGAUUCUCCUGGAGAUUGCGACCGAAGUAGCGAGGAUUAAGCUGUAUGUUCCUCUCCAUCACUAUAUGGAAAAACAUUUUGUUCUUCAGUGAUCACUUCACCAGAAGUUUAAUGAAACAAAUUAACCAAAUGCGGAGAAGCCAAAAGCAAGUUAACAGAGACAAAAAGAGAGUCUAUGAAUUCAUAUAGUAGUAGGAAACAACACCCGGGGUCGGGUUUCCCUUUCCUUUCUGAACUAGGAUUCUCCCUUUUGUGAAAAUCCAUCUUCUCCUAUUAUAUUUAGAAGUAAUAUAAAAAUCCAUCUUCUGUGAAAAAUCAGAAACUAGCUUGUUUUCCAAAUCCAGACCGAGACGGUGAUAAUUAGAAGUAAUCACUUUUUCUAGCAAUCACAAGGGUAAAUAGCACUGUGAAAAUAAUUGACACACCUAGUAGCACCUCCUGAUUCAACCUAGAACUGUAAAAAUGUUGCCAAGAUCACAUAUCCUGAAAAUCCACUUUCCCUUGGUACACAUCUAACAAUUGAGGUACUUGGCUGAGAUAUCUGUUCACAAACGUAUCCAAGAAAAUCUUCUCCGAUAUUGUAAUCACAGAACCCAAACUCCAGUUCUCUUCUAUCAAUCCUUUCAAAACCAAAACUCUAAAAACUGAAAACCUCGGGAUGAUUCUCUUCUCCAAGCUGUAACACAAAACAUAGGGAUACUUGGCAACAGCUUGUGACUGCCGUCCCAUCUUGUUCACCAAGAAAUCCAUUGUUCCCAUUAAUUUCUUCUCCGAAAAAAGCAUACAUUGUGGAUACAUCUUGAAGGCAGACAUCACAUGAUCCUCGGACCAACCCCAUCUCAUAUAAGCUUCUCGACAUCGUUUCCAUGUCGUCUCUUUCAUAGAUAAUGCAGCAAUAGCGUUUACAAAGUUAAAUUUUUUAGGGUCAAAUCCCAUUUCUGAGACUUGAUGCACAAGUUGACUGAACAAUUCAGGCUUUCUCGCCAUAAUAUCAGCAUAAAUCGUUAUCAAUCGGGCAAUAUACGACUGGGGCAUGCCCAAUUUCCUCACAAGCUCAACAUUGGGUGUCACCUUGUUGGAUAGAUUUUCAUUGAAAAUAAAGGACUUGUGCUUCAAAAGAUGAACGACGUUGUCAUCAGAGAGGCCCAAGCUCUUGAGGAAGCUACAAGUGGGUAUAAUAUGGUUUUCCAAGCUCCUCCUCAAGUUCCAUGGGUUGUAGCUCAGUGAUCUUGCAAGGUCCAGCUUUGAGAUUCCUAUGGAACACAAAAACUCGAGUUUUGGCAAAAUGGUUUUCUUGGCAUUGGCGACCAAAACAAGUGGGAAUCUCCGGACAACCUCUGAGAUCUGGGCAUCUGAGAAUUCAUAGAGUUUCAAAAGCGCUAAAGCGGAGUUUGGUUUGUCUAAAGAUCGAAGCUUUACCUUGUGGGAUACUAGAGCAGCGGAUUCUGGGGACAAUCCACACGAGUUAACCAGGUAGGAGACUGUACAUUCGGCUGGGAGACUCACUCUUGUAGAAAAGAGCCGCUUUUGAAGUGAAGCCAAUCCCUGCGUUGGUUGCCCAUUUGUGCAAAACACACGAGCGAAUCUGAAGCAUUUACUGAAGAUGGAGUGGGGUGCCAUACUCAUUCUCACGGAGAUUUUUCCCCAAUUCCCAAACCCUUCUAUGGAGAGAGAUGAGUUGAAGACGGCGACAAACUAUUCGUCGUUUUUUAUGUUUUUAAAUGGGGCUCCCCACUCCGUCUAGCCCGUUAAAAGCCCAAUUCGUUUAUGAGUGUUUUAUUUUUAUGUUUUUAAAAUGGUAGAGCCCCGAAUCCGUCUAACCCACCACGGCCCAGACCCCCUUGACGCGACCCAUCUCCGUCUAGCCCGCUAAAAGCCCAAUUUGCUUAAUUUUUAUUUUCGCUGAAUGUCAUUGAAAAUUAAUCCCAACAACAAUAAACCUCGGUGUUACGCGUUUCAAAAACCCAGAACCCUAAAACCUCUCUGUCUCUCUUUCAGAUUCACCGUCGAAUACGACAAGGUUAGGACUCAAGACCAAGCUCUACCGCACGGUCACCGGGCAAAGAAAAAGGGUUAAGGCUUUUAUCUGUAACACAUAAAACCCCACGUUAUUUUUCUGUAACACAUAGAUUGCUUUUAUCUCUCUCCAGUUCUGCAAGGGGAUAGUGAUUUUGUAUUUUUGUAGUUCACGCCUAACUGACCUACGCAUUCAAUAACCUUUUCACUCAUUUUCGUAGUUUUAACUGAUAGUAAUGACCUUCUGAAAAAAAAAAAUAGAAAAAAAAAAUGAUAGCAAUGUCGACAGAAUACUAUGUUGCACAAAGCCUGCACUUUCAGAAACUUAAUUCAUAGGCACAAGGAAAAGAUACAAGGCUCUUCCCAUUAUGUUCGAGUAUACUAUGAGUUCUUCAGGUGCUCACCAUCAAUACUUCCCACCUUUUAUUUCUGAGUUUCCAUUUCCCUCUACGUAACUACUUUUUCUCAGGUAGAUGCUUUUGCCUUGAUCCCAGAUGAUGAGGAAUCCCUCCUCUCCAAGUCACGAGUUUUCUUCAUCAACCUCCCUGAGUUAACACCAGUGCUGAAACAUGUCUCCACUAUCCUCGCUAGUAACUAUCAAUACCUAAUUAACAACGAAACAUAAUUUGCCUCCUGCUAAAACGUUAAAAAGAAAAUGAGUGACUCACUGAGUAGAAUUUCCGACUAACAGCUUAAAUCAAGCCAGAUGCAGCAACUAUAAGUUGAUCUUUUGAUCCAGCUUUCCAUCUUUUACAGCACAUAAAACCAAUGAGCAAUCUAGGGACAUUAAGUGUUUUCCCCUAUUCCACUGCAUUAGGACCUAAAAAACAAACUUUUAGAUCGAACUCAAGUUUUCCUCUUUCAUCAACCCUUUCAAAAGCAAACUUAUAAUAACCAAAUGAUUCUCCUAUCCAAGCUGAAACAUGGAACAGGGGAUAUUUUGCAAUUGUUUCUGAAAAAAUGCUUUGCAACCUUUUUAGUACAACAGCCGACAGUGUCCAUAUACUACUAAAAGCUAAUGAUUAAUAAGCCACAGAGAUACAGCAACUAUAAUCUAUAAAGUAAUGAUUCUUAAUCCAGUUUUUCACAUUUGUGACGACCAUAAAGUGAUAAACCCAAUAAGAAUGAUCUAGGGAAAUAAUGCAGAAUGUAUUCAAUUGCUACUGAUCAAAUAUCUUCAUUGUUCAUGUAAUUGAAGUAACAUGACAUGAAAAUCAGAAACUCUUUUUCCAAAUCCAGACUGUGGCAGUGACUGUUAGAAGUGAUCAUUUUUUUCUAGCAAUCAAAAGAGUAAACAGCACUAUGAGAAUAAUUGACAAACCUCAUAGCACCUCCGGAUUCAACACUCUGACACCCAAGAACAGUUAACAUGUUGGCAAAGAUCACACAUCCUCAUAUUCCAGUUUCCCUUGGUACACAUUCAACAAUUGGGGUACUUGGUUGAGAUAUCUGUUCACAAAAUUAUUCAAGAAGUACUCAUCUGAAGUCAUAAAAACAGUAGCCAAACUCAACUUCUCCUUCUCCUCUUUGAUCAGUCCUCUCAAAAGCAAAACUCUAACAACUGAACACCUAGGGAUGAUUCUCUUCUCCAAGCUGUAACAAAAAACAUUGGGAUAUUUUGCAAUCUUGUGUGAAUGCCACCCCAUCUUGUUCACUAAGAAAUCCAUUGUUUCCAUUAUUUUCUUGCGAGACUUGAUCAUGCACAGUGGACAAGAUCUGAAGGCAGAAAGAAUAUGAUUCUCAGACCAACCCCAACUCCUAUAAGCCUCUUCACAUUGCCUCCAUGUCUUCUUAUAAUGUAAUGCUUUCAUGGCUUGCACAAAGUUGGACUUCCAAGGGUCAAAUCCAAAUUGUUGGACUUGACCCACAAGUUCCCUGAACACUUCAGGUUCUCUCAUCACAAUUUUAGUAUGAUAUGUCACCAUCUGGGCGAUACAGGACUGGGGCAUCCCCAUUUCUCUCACAAACUCAACAUUCGGUAAUCCAUUCUUGGAUACCUUAUCUAUGAACAUCGUGUUACGCUUCCAAAUUUGGACGACCUUGACAUCAGAGAGCACCACGCUUUUGAGCAAUGUAUGAAAGGGUAUAAUGCAGUUUUCCAAGCUUCGACGCAAGAGCCAUGGGUGGUAGCUCAGUAUUCUUGCAAGGUCCAACCUUGACAUUCCCAUGGAGCUUAAAAACUCGAGCUUUGGCAAAAGGGUUUUCUUCACAUCCGCCAGCAGAAAUUUUGGGCAUUUCCGCACAAGAGUUGAGAUUUGGGUAUCUGAGAAUUCAUACUGUCUCAAAAGGGCUAAAACAGAGUCUGGUUUCUCUAAAGAUGAAAGCUUUACCUUGUGGGAUGCUUCAAUGGCGGCUUCAUGGGACAAUCUACACGAGUGAACCAGGUAAGAGACUGCACAAUCAUCUUGGCCGGAUGGGAUUGCGGAGCUGCUCAAGGGUCUUGUACCAAAUGGUUGCCCAUCUCUGCAAAACAGUAGAGACAAUCUGAGACUCUUACGGAAAAUGGAGCGGCUUGCCAUUCUGUUCUCUCUACUGAUUUCAGAGCAACGAGAUUUUCGCCAAUUUCCAAACCCUUCUUUUAAUUGAAAACUUGGGCCAAAACGGGUUGUUCUCUCCAUUGGGGUUGGGGUGGCUCAUGACAUAGCAGAACGACGUCGUUUAAUCUCCCUACGCCACCGCGCUUCACAACCAAUGAUGUACAACUUUUUUUUGGACGACAAAAAUGUACGACUUAAGUUUUAUUUUUCUUUUGAGUAAUUUUAAAUACACAUCAUAAAUUUUUUAAUACAUUUUUUAUUUAAUACACUACACAUUUAGUUUUUCAUUUCAAUAUUAUAUUAAAUACACAUCCCAAACUACCUAAAAUACCCUCAAUAUCUAAAAUUAAUAAUAAUCUGUUAUUAUUUUACUAUUCACAACUCUCUUUACAUAUUUUCUUUUAUUUUCUGUUAGAUUUUUUUUUUAUUCGGGUUAGAAAUUUUUUCUUUGAUAUUUUUCUAAUUUAUAAUAAAAAAAGUAAUAUUAUAUUCGAAUUCCAAAUCUCUAAUAUGACAUCAAUCGGCUAGAAUUUGAAGAAAAAAAUAAAUAUUGAACAUAAAAAACCAAUAGAAAUACAAUAGCAUAAAAACUAGUUUUUAACCUGCAAGAUAAAAACUAAAGUUGAUAAAAAAAAACCAAAUAAAUCGGUAAAUAGUACAUGUGAUUACGACAGUAAUCGAAAUUCAGGUGAUGAAUUUUAGAGAAGAGGUUUUUAUUUCUUUUAUUUUGAUGCGUAGUAAUAGUGGAGAAUAGUUACGUCUUAGGGAAGAGGAAGUUUCUUUUUUUUUCUUUUUUUUCUUUUUUUCUUUUUUCCUAAAAAUUGAUGGAUGUUAUUGUAAUUAAACAUACCUAUAAAAUCUGAUAUGAAAUAUAAAAUAAUAAGGGUGUGUAUUAAGAGAUCAGAGAUGUGUAUUUAAAUUUCUAUACUCUUGUCAAGGAGAUUUCGGAAAACGUAAUCUUGUUUAUGGCCGUCCACAUCGGCAUGCGUUUCUUCCUAGGGUUCAGAAUGACCACAUAUGACACUGAAAACAUGCCGCAUUUUUCACCCAUUGAUAAUCUGGAAGAUCAUGUUUUGGUGACGGGUUCAAAGGUUGUCAAGUUUGGUUAACCAAUGUCAGGUUUUGAAAGAGUCCCCAAUAGUAAUCCACAGUUUACAGAAAACAUAAUUUAGCUUCGCCAAGUUAAAACUCCAUCAGUUUCCCAAUAGAUAACCACAGUUACCACAUAUUGUUCUACACUGUAAUUAAAUGCGGUGAGGAAGUAAUUCUCAGUUAUGCAGUAAUGUAAACUAGAUCCACAUUUCAAUUGUAUUUGGUCUGUGUUUAACAACGCAGUCAAAAUCAAGAAAAGGAUAAACAUCAAGUGAAAUUGCAAUAUCCUUAUCCUUCACCCUCAUCAAGCCUAAGUUUUUUUUUUUGGUAGUAAAUUCAAGCUUGUGAAAUCAGUAUCUUCCAUCCACACAUUGUCAUGCAUAAAAUAAAUAAAGGAGAACAACUCCAUCAAACAUGAGGCUUCAAAGAGCUCAAGUAAUAGCAGAGAUCUAAAGGAAAGAGAAUUACAUGAUUCUAUCGUAGACUUAAAAGUAUGUUGCGAGGAAGCAAUAUGUACCUUGACAAUAUACAAUGUGCAGGUAGCAAUCCUGCAGGGAACAAAACCAAAAACGAAAACCAUCUGCUUUGACCCCCAACCAGAUAAAUUUACAUAUGCUGUGAAUACUGAAUGAAGAAUUAAUUUGCUUGAAGAAUUAUAAUAACUACUAUUCCAAAUUCACCUUAUACAUACACCAAAGAAACCAAAAGUAGAUUAGCUAACGCUCACUCUGAAGUCAUGCAAAUGCACAUCACAUUCUAACAGGUACACGAAUCAAAACGGUUCUUAUUCAGAAUUCUAAUGAUAUAAAGAAACUCAUUUCUACACCCAAAUGAAAUAAGUAAAGCAUUUCAUACCUGACAUCCUAGUAGCCGCUAAUUUAUCUUAGAUCUUUGUAAAAGUAUCACGUUUGUGUCUGGCCUUUGUUUCCCUCUCGUGAACCUCUCGAUCUUAACUUGGAUGAUGACCUAAUUUGAUUUAUUAAAGGAACAUCUUCAUCUUCAUCAUCAUCAUCGUCUUCAUCCUCAUCUUGUUGUUCUUCUUCAUCUUGAGCAUUUUCAUGGUCAGAUCCACUAAUUGAAUCCUCUUCUUCACUUGAACCAUGAUCAUCAAACAGCCUCUUUCCCUGUAUAUUACGCCUUUUCCGUGGACGACCCCUGCGCCUAACAGAGGUCCCGUCCUUCUCUUCUGCAGUUAUUCAAAAUCCAUCUUAAAACAUAGAAUUGUAUCGGGAGUUUAAUAUGAGUAGUAUUUUACAUGUGAAAAUCGUACAAUAAAGACUAAUUGCAAUACAAAACCCAACUUCAGCCGUACCUUGCAUACCUUCAAUCUUUGCAAAUUUUUCACGCAAGGUCUGAACGAAUGUGUGAUAUGGACGCCAGCCACUAGGAUCUUCAUCCAUAUUAACAUUCUCCGUUCUCUUUUGGAUAUUGACAUUACUACUUGCAGAAGUAUAAAAAUCAGACUAGGAAAUAUUUUGAAAGCAUAAGCUAACAUAUAAAAGAUAAUGACUUACAUCUCAAGAAUAUCAGGUGUAGGCAAUUUGGACACAAAUUGGAGCACAGCACCUUCCAGAAAGGACAGCUGCUUUGGAGUGUCUAUAAAAGCAUAGUCAAUACCCUGGUUAACAAUUUUCAAAAUGUCUGACUUGUGCUUGUUCUUGGAAACACCUACAAACGUCCCAGAAAGCUGAGCAGCUAGUUCUUGAAACUCUAGAAAAUGCUUGCUUGCUAAUGAUUCAUCAUCACUUCUAGAUAGUUCAACCAUAUACCGAUGGUAGGCCUAGUAAAUACAGGAAAAUAAUUAAUUAACUAUAUAUGCGAAUAAAAUGAAUGAACUCAACACAGUAGGUUUACUCAGUAUUCAUGGGUCAUACCAUUUUCAGCGCUUCCAAGAAAGUUUUCGCAAGAUCAUCAUCAUUCUUCUUCAGGAAAGUUAUCAGAUGCUUAACUAUCUCGGCUACAGUUGUACCAUGCAUCAUGAAUCGAGAUAUAAUCUCUGGACCCAGGUACUCCUGCAUUAAGCAUUUAUUAAAGGUGCACCUAGAAAAAAUUGUUAUGUAAAAUGUAACCAGAAUUAUAUUACAUUCUGGGAAGGGAAUUGUACAAGAACACAUGAGCAAGUAAAUGCUAGGAUAUCAAAGCAUAGCCCACCAGACUACACAUGAUGGCCAUUCAACAGAACAAAAUACUAAUUCAUAUCUAUAGAUUUAAGUCAUAUAAUCUUCACCUUAUAAACUUUAUCAGUAACAGCUAACCGUACAGCAGCCAUCAUGACAGUAUCUCUAUUUGUUUCCUCAAUAUACUCUUUGUUCCCAUCGUCAUCUUCCGUGUCAUCUGUGAAAAGGCAAUUGCAAAGUAAAAUUCGAGAGGAAGAAAAUGAACAUCUCUUUUAUCAUUUGGCAAUUGGUUAUCAAACACCGUAAGAUCGUAUUUCACUCAAUCAUAAGUGAACAAAAUAUCACUGCUACUCUGUAGAGGAAAUUAUAAAACUUGAAUACCUGAAAUACUGAGCUGUUGCACAGAAAGUUUCCAGAACUUUUGAAGAACUGAUGCAUCUGGAGAAUAUCCUAAUUUUUCCAGCUUCGAUGAAGAAAAGUUUGUCUUUUUGAACAGUCUAGACAAAUCAGUGAGUAUAACACAGACCUGGGACAUACAGAUAAUCAAAGUAUGACAUAUCUUUAGUUGACCUCUGAAGUUUCAAAAAGUAUUGAACCAUUGUACUAUCAUAAUUUUUCAGAAAUUUUGACAGAAUUAAGGAUGCAAAUCCAUACCCAGCGAGCUAGUUGAUUGCAACGAUUACCCUCCAUUUCCAGACAGCUGCUAAGGAGGUACUCUAACCGCUCUGACAAAAAAUCACGUUUCGCUAAUAGGGAAGAUAAAGAUGCCUCUGAGAUAGCAGGACUAUGUAUGAUGGCAUGCAGACACCAUUGCACAUGCAUAUACAUGUUGAGAAGCAGAAAAGUGACAACCUGAAAUGAGUAUCAAAAAAAUAAUGAGCAACUGCAACAAAGCAACAAACAAUAGAGCCUAUUUUCGGAAGGUCCAUUUAUUACACCUGAUCAUCCUUGUUUGUAUAGCUCUGAAGAGUUGAGACCAUAUCUUCAUACAAACUUUCAAUAGGCACAUUUCCUGACAAUUGAAGCUCAUACAUUCUUUUCAAAUUUACAAGAAGAGGAUAUUCAUCACCACCAUCCUGCAGUUACAGUUCACAUCAAUGUGUUAUCCUUAAAAAGUUAAGAAGGAAAAAAGUAUGGUUCAGAAUAUACCGCCACUUCUUUCAUCGCAGGUUUAAGCUUACUAUGAAUAAGCUCAUCAUGAAGUUCCUUUACUAAAUUGCGGGCAGUAUCUUUUAGCUCCCCUUGACUGUCCGUUGAACAAAACAUGAUAGCAUUAGCACAAGAUCUCAGUGCCUCCUUCUCACCAUGUUUGAAAAAUGCCUCUUUGAUCAGUUGAAUGACGGUUUCAAAAUUCUGAAAGCGUAUAGGCACUUACUUUGAGAAUAAGUUGUAUAAGAAUAUUAAAUAGAAUGCAAUGAAAAACAAUCAGUACUCCACCUGUUCCUGCCUCCUUUUGGAAUAUAGCCCAAGAUUCAUGUGUAGAAUAAUGUCAACCAGUGAUGGUAUUUUUGCUUUGUCUGCCAUGAACUUACGGAGAAGUAGUGGAUAAUUCUUCAUCAUGGCAAGAGUUAUAUCCUGUUUGUUGUGCUCAAAUACAUCCUAACACAAUUGAAGGAAAGAUUUAAAAACUCAGUAGUCAUAGUAUACAUCAGUUAAACCAAACAAGAUAAGGACAAAGAGGAAAACAGCACAGUGAAGUUCAUGAUAAGCACAUGAUAUAAGAAAAAAAAUAUUCUCUGGCAAUCAAGCAAGAAAAAGAAGACUAUGAACUAUGAACUUUAAUGUUACAAAGGAGCAACUGUGAAGAUAAUAAGCAAUCAGGCAAGAACAUUGGAUUUACAAUUGAAGAGUGUACAUAAUUACCACCAGGCCGGAAAUACUAAAUUGGACAAAGAUUUAAAUUGUGCUGAAAACAAAGUAAGGAAAUGAAAGAUAAAGUUAAAAGUUACGCACUUUUUGAGCUUUAGUGUAGUAUGGCUUUCGAUUAUCAGUAGCAGGAACUAUCCUCUCUCCUACAGCCUUUUUGACAGAUGCACAAAGAAGUCGUACCAAGUUUGUUGCAUCCUCAUCAGUAAGCUCAAUCAAUGGAUUCUCGUCCAAGAGCAUGGAGAUAAUACACUUCCAAUCCUACAAGUGGAAUAUGAAAUAAUAUCCUCAGAUAAGAGGACCGAUAAUAUGCACAUUCAAUUCCCUUUUUACAUUUUGUUCUUACAAUUGAUUUGUGAAUGUUAUUUGGCCAGCUAGAAUAUCAUUUUCUAGAGUAUACAUCAUGAUGUCGAUCAAAAGAUAAUUCAAACAGACUUUUUUAGAGAUAGUAGCCACUUUCCAACAGCAAAAGAAAAAAAAAAUAGGGUGCUUUGCAUAAAGAAUUUCAAAGUAUUAAAACUACAAAAGGUCAGAGACAAUUUAGAGUGAACUUCAAAGUAUAAAAAAGUGGGUUAGCAAUAAUAACUUCCACUUAUAGAAUAGAAAUAUAACAAUGAAAUUUAGGUGUACAACUUUUAUAGUUUAUAAAAGUAACAAACCUUCAUGGCAUUCAUGUAUUCCCAGACAUCAUCAAUUACAUAAACGCUAAGAAUUGGAUCUGCAGAGAACUCUCUUAGUAUCUGCAACAUUCUGCCGAGCUGGACCUCAGAAGAAUUAUUGUCAACACCUACAAAGGGUAUCAUCAUGAGCAAAAGUACUUUAAAACUCCAAUAAUGAACAUCAUCAACAACACAACAGAGUCUAUAGAAAAGUGAACCUUUUGCACCAGACUGGGAGCUAAUGAACUUUUGAGAAAUCAAGUGUUCAUACACUAAUGCUCCUAUAGCAUGCCUGAUCUCUGCUGGAUCAUCAAUAAGCAAAUCAUAUAAAGGACCCAAGUCAUCAUCUGGUAGAAGCUGAUGUCUGCAGCAUAAGAAAACCAAUGAGCCUUUGACAAAGCCAGAUAAAAAAGGGGCAAUUUGCAAAAAUACCUACGAAAUCACCAAUUUAAGAUAUAAAUAAAAAGUUUCCAAAAACAGGCAUUUACCUUAAAAGCUGUUUAACAAGGCCAAUGGCACAAACAGCCACAGAAAUAUCUAUGUCAUCAGCAAGCUCAAUCAUCCGAGUAGAAAAUCUUUCGGUGAAUAGGCCCAGAGUUGGCACAUUAUCAUCAACCUCAUAAAGAUUUUGUAAUGCAAGGACUGAUGCUUUUCUUACACCAGCAUUCUAACAAGCAGUAAGAGAGAAAAAUAAAUGGGGUUUGUCUAACUCAUUAGCAGAAAUCUAAAGAAAACUAAUUCAGGAACUCAAACAUACUUUGUCAUUCAAUGUCCAUCCAAGAUAUUUCAAGUAUAAAUCCUGCAAGAACAUUGAUGGAUAUGACAAAAUCCACACGCCGAGUGCCUCUAUACAAGACGUCCGAAUAUUUGGUUCAAUGUCUCGGUAGCGAUGCACAAAUAACCUAUACAUUAGUAAAGCGAAGUAAGAAUUAUAAGAGUAAAUAUGAAUUUCAUCAAAUCAGAUCAGUAUCCUCUGCUUCUUACUAACAAAUCUAAGUCAGAAUAUCCUACCCUUGAAAUAUAUUCCGCAUCAUCUGCUCUAGAAGAGUUAUGUUUUCAUGAGUCGUCGAGAACCUCUUGUUCAGUGACUCCACACGAGGUCCUUCAGAUUGUUUCUUUUUCUCAGCCUCUAAUUGUCUUCGAGUAGUUUCACGCUGAAGACCAAGUGUUUUAGCAACAGUUAUGAACGAAGUGACAAGUUGGAGACCCAUCAAAGUAGCAGUUUGCCGAUAAACUCUUGGAGGAGUGCUGCUUAACAUAAAACCAGAAAAGCCCGGCCACAGUGCAGUUAACAAAUGCAUUUACUUUGAAAAGACCAUGAUAGAGCAAUUAUAUAUCCCAUACAAAUUUUCAAGCACUGACCAUGAUAGAGCAAUUAUAUAUCCCAUACACUUCUCGAACAAAAUCUGAUCAAACAAUGGCCCGUGUUGACAUUCGCAGACCAACUUAUCCCAGAAUGAUUGGAGAUUGUCUUUUAUGUUUUUGAACUCCUUUUUCGAACUUUGGUAAUCAUCAACGUUACCCUAGGAGGUGAAAUUAGUUAAGGAAAAGGUUUGGGAUAAAUCUUGAUAUAUAAUCAAUUGAUUAUGAACAGAAAAAGUGUCAAAAAGUGAAAAACAGGUAAGCGUGAUAUAGCAUAAGAGAGUAAGAUGAAGAAAGAUAAUCUUAAUAAGGAACAACUGCAGGAUACAUUUCUAGCAAGCUCCACAAGUGCAACCACAACAUCAUCAACAUUAGUCUCGUCCAGCAACUCUUCUUUGAUAUGAUACUUAGCUCCGCAUGCCUGAAAAUAUGUCUAGUCAAUUGCAGGCUACUUUUGUUAUUAAACUCUAUACUUAGACAACCAACCUAUUCCAGAAUUAAAAAUCCAACUGAGAUUGAAAAAAUCCAACCCACUUGACUCUAUAAAAUACUCUUUCGAACAUUCAUUGUGAAAUGUUAUUCCGGUCGAGAGUCUUAAAAUGUCUUCCAAAUUACCUCAAACAGCAUUGUCAAGAGUUCAACAGUAGCAGGUUUAGCAUCCUUUUCGUACCGCUCCACCCAGAGCUUGACCGCUUGUGGAAUAAGUUUCCCGUUUCCCUUGACGACCUCUGCAGAGAUUGAAAAUGUCAAUAGCCUACAUGGACAUAACACUACAUGCUUCAUGCGUUUCAGGCCGAAUCACUAUUUAACAUAAUUACUAUCUAGAAGUCGCAAAACAAGGAAAGAAUGUAGAAGGAUAUAGUUAAAUUCUUCGUUAUUGAGCUAAAAGAUCUCCAACCAACCUAAAUUGUUAGCAAUUUGUACACAAUUAAUCGAACCAGCCAGUGAAAUCAAGUAAAUUACAGUGACAAGUAAUUCAGUAAUUCAGAGCAAAUGAAAUCAUAGUGAUUCUUUAAUUUACAGAGCAGCGAAUAGUUUCGGAAGUACCGAUCAAAGUGAGAGCGGAGGCUUUGGGCGGCGCGGCGGCGGGGCCACUGGGAGGGCGACCUCGUUUAGCUUUAGGACGAGGCGCUUCGAAAUCGUCCGGCGAGCUCUCGCGGUCCACGUGUUCACUGGCAUCGCCACCGUUGUUGUUCUCGGUAGUGAAUCGAGACUGAGCCCUAGUCCGCUUCGGCUGCUCAACAAAAACAAGGACGCAAGGUCAAAUUACGAAGUCAAUUUCGAGAACGGAGAGAGAUUAAGCGAGAAAUGAAACUCACGCGGCCGGCGGGGGCUGGUUCCUCCAUGGCCGUUCUGGUUUUGAGUGACUGGAUUUUGACCUAAAUUGCAGAGGGGAGAUAGAGAGAGAAGAAGCAAAGGGAGCAGCAAAUCUCCCGCCUAAGGGAAACGGAACGUUUAAGAUCUGAAGGCUAAUGAUGAUUUAGCGAUUUAUAUACUCUUAACAUUUUGAGCAUCUUACCGAAUGACGUGUAGGAUGAUGAGAAUUAAAAAAAAUGAUAUAAAAACAUAAUGAUCAAAUAUAUGAAUUGUUAUAAACGGUUAAGAUUACGUCGUAUAAAUGCAUGUCGUGCAUACAAGAAUUUCCACUCUAAUGAGUCUAAUCUGUAUUGGGAGUCAUGGAACGGCAACGCACAUUGACAAUCUUUCUGUUUACAUGGCAUUUAUUUUCUCUAACCAAAAUAAAUUAGUAAAAAAAUUAAGGAGGGAAUUUGUUCAUAAUCAACAACAUAAUUUCUUUAGAAUGUGUGUUUAAACCAAAAAGAAUAUAGAACAGCGGAAGAGAUGAAUCGAUACCGAUUUCAGAUGGUUGGAUCUAUAAGUAUUUAGAAAUCAAUUCCUAUAAUUAUCGAUGGAACAUACACAUCAAUUUUCAUUCAUUCACGUGUUAAUAAUAAACACAUUACUUUUACCCAUAAUCAUUUCAAUUCAUUUGUUAAAGCAUGAAUCGAGGAAUAGUAGAACCGCCUAUUCCACUUUUAAGAUAGCAUCUUUAACAGUUUCUUCAUAAUUUCUCUAUUAUGGAGAAGCAACAGAUUCUCUAUUUUAGAGAUUUGAUGACCAUUCCCCAAAUCCUUCUUUAAAAUUUUAGAGUUUGCUGAAAAUAUAAGGAAUUUGGCUUUCUCUCUCGUCACAUUCCCCAUUUAGGAAAAAAUUUUAGAAAAUCUGUUAGAGCAAAACAAUCAAAAUCUUCCCUAAAAAUGAGAAAACCAAGAAUAUGGAGAAGCUGUUAGAGAUGCUCUAACUAUGGAAACACAAGUAAUGCAUUGCACUAUGAACGAAAUAAUAAAAAAACAUGAAUAUCCAGACCAUUUUUUUUUUUCCUGAGAAUAAUAUCCAGACCAUUUGAUGCAAUAUAACAUAUGAACGUUAAGGGUACAUAACUUAAGAAACCUCCUGUGCAAAGACAUGUCAUAACUUAAACCUACAUAGGGGCAAAGCCACCUUUUGAGUGAUACAUGGCACCAGAAAGCAACAUGAUUGCUGCAUCGCAGCUAACACAGUAGAGGAUCAUUGGUUGGCCAUAAUCGCUUAGAUCAUAGAAUGUCGAUUCCCUUAAGGGGGUACAUAAAGCAGCAUCAAGAAGCAUUGGCCAUCGACUCGAUUAGUAACUGGUAGCCUUCUGGUAUAGCCGACUGUGUAUGGACACAUGCAGCCAAAGCAGGAAUAUCAGCAUUCACGUCUAAAAUCCUUGCAAGUAAAAGCAUCAAAUGAAAAUCUGCAAUUCGCUUCACAUAUGGAAGACUCUUAGCACGGUCCAGAUGGGUUUUCAGAGCCCCCAACGUCACUGGGGUGAUACGAUUCUCAAUGGGAAAGGUGGAUGAAAGAGGCCCCUGCAUCAAGUACUGAUGAGUCCUUGUUCGUUCCGGUAUAAACACAAUAAGAACAAAAUACAAAAAGAACAUACGGAAGCGAGUAUGCAUCAACUUUAUGAAUUAAGCAUUCUUAAGUACAUAACCUAAUGAUAACCAAGUACACUACCCACCUCAUACCCAUCAUUUUCAAUACUUUAACCUAGUCAAUCUAAUCCUUGGCCGUAUAGAACAAAACGCAUCCUUUAUUUUUGCUGAUGUGUCCAUACCAAUCUGAAAGGCACCGCCAUCACUAAGGAAGCCUUUGUAUAGCAAAGCUAUAGGCUUUGUUCCCCCAAUGAAUCAGAUUAUUUUUCACCCCAAUAAUAUGUUUCCACUACUGAUAUCCAGAAUUAAGUCUAGCAUAUGCACAACUUAGCUCUUUUUCCUAAUAUACCAAACCAUGUAAGCUGAAGAAACUUCACAUGCCAAACACAGUUUGCAGUUGAAGCCUUCAAGGCAGUUUAAAGCCAUCCAUUUUAAAGGAAAGAAUACCCCAAUGAAAAGAAGCCACAUUAAGGGGGAGAUGCAAAAAUCUUUCCUCUUAAACUGCCAAUUUUACAAGUUCAAAAUUUCUAUCUCCACCGUUAUAACAAAUCUUAAUACUCUAGUUAAUAAACCACAAAAUCCUAUUAACCUUAAGUUGAAACAAAACCAAAAUGAUCUACUGAAAGUUACUAAAAAGCUGCAAAUGCUGAGACAAAAACAACAUGAAGAAAUAAGCUUAUAGCAGAGAAGUGCAGAACCAAAAGCUAUGUUAAACCAUCAGCUAUCAAUGAAAAAUAUACCAUCCUAGAUGCACCUAUGAUGAUGCACAACAAACAUAACGACGUUAGGAGAGAGGGAAUGUCCAUAACGAGAUAGAAAACCAAGAGAAAAUAAGAGAAAGCUUAGUCACUCAACCUGUGACUCAGACCAGUCCCUUGCAAAAUCUACAGGAACUUUUCUACAUCCCAUCUUAUAAGCUCAAGAAAAGCAAUAAGUUACCACAUUUUAUUGUCUAUCUUAUAGUAUGAGCUGAAUAAGCUAACGAAUUGUAUAUCUCACUGCAGGUUGAAUAGUGGACUGAUAAAGAAAAUCUUUGGAGGAUUACUACUGGUUUGAUAUCAAUAUUAUUGCCUAUCAAGUUUCAGCAGUUCCUAGAUACCCGCUAAAGAUGAAGGUAGUCAUGCCCCCAGAUACAAACUCCAAGAAUGAAGUAUCCCCAUUUUAUAAGCUCCUAGAAGCACUCAUGCUCAAAAGCUACAGGGUUACUGACUCUAAGAGUUCGUACAAGCAACAAUGUGCAAACAUACUUCUUUGGACUAAACACCUAUACCACAAUGAGACGCAAUGCUAUACCAGGCUCUAUCAUACUUCGCUAUCAGCUAGAAUAAAGGAUCAGCAAGAUAAACAAAACAAUCUAGAAAUAUAUAGUGCAAUAUAAACUCACUCAAGUACAACAACACAAGCAAGUAUAGAGAAUUUAUGCUUACCUGGUGAUCGAAGAUCUUUACCACCACCAAGAAGAAAUCAUUGUCCACUUCUCUAGUAUCCUUCACUCCGACAACAACAUCCUUCUUCAUCUUGGACAGCUUCGGAUCCUGAUCCUCCCCAAUCUCAGUCUCGAACCACCCCUCCUUAAACAACCUAAUGCACAUAUCACUCAUCUGAAAAGCUUCGAAAUGCACAUCAGCAGCACCAUCCUCAUUCACCUCCAGCUUCACCAUUGCAGUCACCCACUCCUUGAGCUCACUCUCGGCAUGAAACUCCGCAGCCUGCAGCACCUCCCUAUUCGACAAUGUAUAGUCCUUCUUGUCCUGCCCAACCGUCUGAGUGAAUAUAAACCCUACCCGCCUCAUCCCCAACCCCAACGCAAUCGCCUCCACCGCCUUCUCCUCCUCCGGGUCCCGGAAAAACGUCAGAUUCUCCUCCGUCCCCUGCUGCGGCGGCUCGUAGAUGAAAUCCACCUCCACUUUCCCCUCCUCCGACACCGUGCCGUACAUGAACCCGCCGCGCUUGACGGCGAAGGCGAGCGUGUCGUUCACGUAGUGCUGGAACGCGUUGGCGCAGUCGCGAUCGAACGAGACGAGCUCGCAAUGCGGAGUCUCCUGGCGCGUGACCUUCAUCUGCUUGGCGAUGAGGUCGUCCAUGGUCAUCUUCCGGCCGAACGACCCCGCCGGGUGGAAAUUGGGCCCGGCGACGGUGCGUUCCCCCUCGUAGGCCAAGAACACAAUCGAGCCGUGGCCCAGGUUGAGCGCCGCGAGAGGAGUGUUCGGAUUAGCCAUGUCGACGAAGCGAGUGAGGUCGUCGGCGGUCUUCGCCAACAGAAGGUUUUGAUUGGUGGAGAGGGUUUGGUUUUCUAGAGGGAUUCGAAGAUUGUUUUGAAUCAGGGAUUUGAGCUCGCCCACUGUCGCGUUUGGGUUGUCGACUGUGAGGCGUUCCAGGCCGUCUCUGCUUCGAAUUCUGAGCAACAUGGUUCGCCGGAAUCGGUGGCGGGGAUUUUGGGGGUUCGGGAUUUGGUUGGGUUUUGAUGAGGGUGAGAAGAUAUGAAUGGAUUGGUGAAAGUUGAGGGAAGAAAAGGUUUGGGAUUUUACAAAACUUGUGGGAGGGGAAAAGGAGAGGAAUCAGUUCGGAAACUGGAAGGAGUAGACGGUGAGAUUUCAGAGAGUGAGGAGAAGUAUCAAGUGGCGGGCUGAUUAGUAGUGACAGUUCGAUUGGGCUUAUUUGGGCCAGCUGAUCAACCAAAGGUCCAAACUUUAAUUUCUUUUGCACCGACCAAAGUGAUGAGAUGGUUUUUGAUAACAUUAAUUUUGUAUUGUAUGACUACUGCUUAGUGAUGCCUUGAAUAGCAUAGGAUUUUUUUUUUUUUAGUAAAAAUGAAUAAUUCAUUAAUCAAAGGAAAAUCCUAAUUACAAAACCUGCAAACUCGAGGCCGAGAAACUGCAAAUAACAAAGAGCAUGGGUCUCCAACUCGAUCAAACUAGAAAAAGUGAAAUGAAACCAACAACUCAUUAUAAUCUGGACCAGAGGUCCUACAACCGAAAGCAUAAAUGUAACACUACCAAUCAAUCUACCACACCAACCACCCAUGUUUGCAGGCAUUGUCAUCGCCGUCGUCGCCAAAUAUCGUUAAGUAGUGAGGAGUACUAAAUCAAAGCAAUGAUACCCGAGUAACUGCUGCCAAUCAAAUCUCAAUACAUAGAUCAUAUGAAAACCUACACCCAUAGGAGGAGCUCCACCAAAUUAACACACCAUACAAACCAUAAUCAAUAUCCAAGUAAUGAAGUAGCUGUGGCUGACGAAAGAUGACUGAGAACCAGAGCAAGAACCAAAACCAAAGAAAAUGGGGGGUGUUGAAUAGCGCGCAUAGUUAGGGAAAUGCAAUUGAGAUGAAAUUUGGUAAUCAAUGUAAUCGAGAUGAUAUUGGUAUCUCAAAUUUCAUAUGACAUCACACUAUAUAUAUUUAGAUUUUGCCUUUGUUAUCAAUUUAUUCAUACAUAAGUUCUCUUUGUUUCAUGUUCUAAACAUAGGUGAGUUUGAAAUAUUAAGAUAUUUGAGGCAAUUAAAGUUAGACAUAAUUUCGUUGUUUCUUUUUCUUUGAGCCAAUAAAAUUGUUUAUUUUUCUUCAACCAAAUAAAAUUAAUAUGAUAAUUUGUACACCAACCUACAUGAAUCUUGUGCUUUAUAAUAUAUAUAGUGAAAUAUUAAUGUGUUUAUGAUUGUUAUUUCACGCCGAUUAUUCUUUGGCGUACGUGCGUUUGUAGUGCAAGAUUUUGAUUGUGUGCUUUGGGGUAUUGCAUUGAUCAUAGACGGAAUUACUAAGUAGAUCUAAUAUAAAGGAAAUUAAAUAAGUUAAAAAGUCUGAAAUUAAAAAGAAAAUCCACUUAAAUGUUUCAAUUAAACGAAGGUACAGAUUAAAAGAAAGUACAAAACAUUAUUGUAAGAACAUGAAAACUCGGUAGCUAAAGCAUAAAAAUCUAACCAGUUCUGAAUAAAGAUAAAGACAAUGCAUUAUUAUUUCCUAGUACCCCGGGCCGGUAUAUAGUGAGUCACUUAGACCAUCCCUGUACAAGGAAGUCAUAUCAGGAAUUGGCCCAGGAAUAUUGUAUGGAGGUUGAACUUCUUCUUUGGCACUCCUCCUAUUUUCACUAUUAUUGCUCCUUCUGUUAGGCACAUUAUGAUUGUGGUGGUCUCUAUACAAGUCCAGCAUAUCUGGAAUCCCCCCAGGAAUUAUGUAUAGAGGUUGAUGGCAGUUUGAAUCAGAUUUCUGCGUUUGAUUGUUGCCCUUUCCGGUAUUUUUGUUGGAGGAGUCACCUGCGUGGUUAUUGCUUGAUGACUCGCCUUUCGAAUACUUUUUUUGCGAUUUCUUGAACAUGAUGUCCUUGCUCCUUGUCUUCACGAACUCGACUGAUCGAUUUGCAGCUUGUAACUUAGAUUGUUUUGCUUCUUGGCUUUAGCUGUGUAUGGAUUCGUAGGGGCUUGGUAGCCUUUAUAUAAGGUAGAAGUAAGGUCUUACUUCAAGUUGUGUUAGGAAAUCUACUUACUCCUAUUGAACAUAAGUCGUGAUUCUCCAGUCCCAGAUUAGGAAAGUAAUAUAUAGUUUGUCUUUUUGAGCAACAGGCAAAAUUUUGUAAUCCUAGUCGUUGCCAAAUUCCUAAACUUUCUGGGUUUAUCUUUGUAAGUUAAACUUUGGUAAGUUAAUUUUUGCUCCAUAUUGGCAAACUUUCGGUACGGCGACUAGGAUUUGGCUAACUCUACAAGAUUAGGCAAGUAGUAAUUUAAUUUAAUUCUAAAACCAAGCUUUUGGUUCACGAUUCUACUUAUUUUUCACUAAUUUAAUUCCUAACUAACACUGUAAAACUUAAUUUUUCUUAGUUAAUUUGCCUUUCUUAGUUAAUUUGCCGGUUCCUAGUACUAUAUCAUGUAUAGAUACAAAGUUACAAACUACAAUGGACUGCUUUUCUGCCAUCCGAUUGAUAUGUCUACACUGUUUUAUCAUGCAGGCGCGGACAAUAACUAGUUGAUGCUCCUCAACCUUAUAGCAGCUGGUACACCGGUUUAUAUUCUCAAUUCAUGCAUUUGUUCUAGUGAUAUAUAGAGUUAUUUUGGUUUUUGAUAUAGAGACUUGAGUUACCAUACUCAAGGACAAGCAUUUUGCCAAUCAGUAGUUGAUCAUAUUGGGAUCGAUAUAGUUCCUGGUGAUCCUCUGGAUAGUAGCAUGCAUUCUUCUGAGGCCAUGCCACUUGAGCCAUAUCAACGUCAUGCUCAUGAGUUUCUGGUCAAGACAAGGCGUCGUCGAAAGGGAAUGAGUGAGGAUGUCAACAUAUACAAGUUUUUCGACGAGGCCAUGGUGAUGGAAUUUCCUCAGCAGGCUGCUGAUCCAUAUGCAUUUUAGCCUGUUGAAUCCUUAUUUCUGUCCUAUGCCUUCAAUUUUUCCAUUGUAAGAUAAUUAGUUAGGCAACUUAAUUACUGGUACUCUAGGCAUAUAUAAUUGAUAGUUGAUUUUUGUGAUCGGCCUAUACAACUACGUGCAUCUGUGCACUUAUAUACUAUAUAGAUGCGCUUCUGAAUGAAAUCUAAUAAUACUGCAUCUUGGUAACCCUUCCCUUGAAACUUUGAUGAUACUAUUAUGUUAUUGAAUAGACAACACUGAAUGAUUUAAACAACCCAGGUCACUGCAGGCUGUAUUAUUAUUAUUAUUCAUGAACAGCCUGAAUAUAUGGUUUAAACAACCCAGGUUACUGCUAGCUAGCUAUGUGAUUCUGCAAAUUUAAGUUAUUUAACGCCAUAAAAGUUGUAUGUAUGAUCAACUAGAUCCUAGCUAGCUAGUUAAUAUAUGGUCAUGUUCAAUCUGGGCCAGUCUUCAUUUGCAACAAGAUUUGCUAUUAGAUGGAGCUGUCAGAACCAUGCCUGGGUGCCUCUAGCUAGGGUUACUAACAUGCAUGAAUUAGAGGGAUUGAUUGUUGAUUAACAGCUUUUAAGUAUCAUUGUUUAAAGAUUAAAAAUUUUGUGAUUUGGUACUAUAUAUUGUUGAAUUACUAACAUGCAUACAAGAUUUAAAGGGAUUUGUUGUUGAUUAAGGCUAGUGUUAUUAACACACUUUUUUGUGUUAUUGACACGUCUCAUUUAUAAUGAGAACCAAUCAUGAAACAAAUUCAAGUGACAAGUUUGUAAAUAAAAUUAAAAUGUGUGGAUAGAAAAAUAUAUAUAAGGUGUAUGUUAAUAACACAAAAUGGUGUGUUAAUAAACAUGCAUGAUUUAUUGUGAACUACUAAUCAUCAUUGUUAAAAGAUUAAAAAUCUUGAUGAGUUUGGUAUUAUUGUGAACUACUAACAUGCAUGAUUUAUUGGGAUUAAUUAGUUGUUGAUCAAUAGUUUCAAUUAUCAUUGUUAAAAGAUUACAAAUCUUGAUGAGUUUGGUACAAUUGUGAAUUACUAAUUAACAUGUCUGAUUUAAAGAGACUAGCCUCUUAACACACACGCUCACGUGUGUAUCAAUUUGUUUUUUUGUUUUUUAUUUAAGUUUUUUUAAUAUAAAAAAUUGCUUAACUUUUUUUUUAAAAAUUUGUUAGCCAGUUUUCUUUUGAUGAAGUGGAUCGUCAGAAAGCCAAUAACUGCUCCACAUUUGUUGGUUUUUUUUAUAUUUUCUGUUAUAUAUAUACAUAUAAUUACAACAAAAACAUUUAGACAUUAAAUUAUAGUGUUAUUGAAAUGUAAUAAAAAUGGACAAUUUGGGUACUUUAAAAAAUUGGUGAAGCCUUUAACACCAAAUGCACGCUUCGCAUUAUAGGAGUGGAGAUGAAGAUUAGUUGAUUAUAAUAUGAGUUAGAUAUAGAAGCUAGGAAAUGUAUCACAAUAUGAGUUUUUAUUUUUAUUUUUUAUUUUUAUUUUAUUUUUUUAAAAAGGUAUCAUAAUAUGAGUUGCUUGGUUAAAGCAACAAGUAUUGUUUUAUCAUUUAUUAAUAGAUUAUGCGUAAAAAACGAUAACAUGCUUCAAGUUCGACUAGCUAUCUGAUCCAUAAACACAAGUGUUUCUGCAUAAACCUCUAGGCUAUAUAGAAGCACGAUGGGACAUGAACAUACAUGACACAACAUUUAUAGUGAUUCACCAUGCCAACGAAGGACAUGACUACAUCCACUUGAAUCUACUAUCAUGAGGCCUCAAUGCCUUUGGUGUUACAAGUGUGGAGUAGUGAAGUUGGGAUGGAGUUGGAUCAGUUAAGAUCCUUUCUACAUAUGGGAAACCUUCAUUUUAUAGUUAAGAAAUGUUUCCUCACAUUACAUGUUUCCAAUGUGGGACAAGGUGCAGACAUAUCUUCUCAUGAUGCUUUCUUGUAGAUCUUGGAGGAGCACAUUCCCGAUGUGGUAUCGAUGAUUCUUUACCAUGGCGAGGUAACCCAAAUCUACUAUCAUGAGGCCUCAAUGCCUUUGGUGUUACAAGUGUGGAGUAGUGAAGUUGGGAUGGAGUUUGAUCAGUUAAGAUCCUUUCUACAUAUGGGAAGCCUUCUUUUUAUAGCUAAGGAAUGUUCCUCACCUUUUUAUAGCUAAGGAAUGUUCCUCACAUUACAUGUUUUCAAUGCGGGACAAGGUGCAAAUAUAUCUUCUCAUGAUACAUUCUUGUAGAUCUUGGAGGAGCAUUUUCCCGAUGUGGUAUCGAUGAUCGUUUACCAUAACGAGGUAAUCCAAAUGUCGGAUGUAUGUCGGAGGCGGGACCCGCCAUGGCCGAAGCACGGUCUACAAGGUCAUUGCUUAUGUUUGGCGGUAUAAUACAUACACGUAUCUACAACAAGUAUUCGAAUGAAAUAACAAAUUUUGGUUGAUCGAGUUGGGUCAGUUGGGUGAGAAUGUGAGAUCAAUGGCUGCAUGCAGUAGGCUUACUAUGUUUUGGAACCCAAAAUGCCAAAACAUUUGUAGACAAUAGAAUACAAACUUGCAAUGUCUCUGCACACUGGUGGAUCUAGCUAAAGCAGAUCGAGCAUAUGAGUCCAAAUGAAGUAGAAACCAACAAUCCAGCUCUCAAAUCAAAACCAGUAUCUAGACUAGAUGACAAACAAUAUUUUUGGAAAAGAGAGAAUAGAAUACUGCAAUUCCAGUUAUAAUAUGAAUUGGUUUAGAAAAAGAAACAAAGGAAUUGAAUCCCGUUGUGUCUUUAUGUGUGGGGUAGUCACACUCAUCACUCUGAGCCCCAACGGUCCGAUCCCACACACCAAAAUUUGAAUUCCUCCAUGUUCUUCCUCUUCUUCUUCUUCUCUAGCAAUGAAAAUAUUGUUUUACAAUUCAAAUUCCAAUGAGGAUGGUCCAAAAGGAUGUGUUAGGAAAAUGACCUUAUGGUCCAUAAGUUAUGGAGUUAUGAAUGGAAGGUCAUCUCAUUAAUUCAUGAUAGUAAUAUUUAAGAAACUCAAAUGACAAUAUAGUUAAAAGUUUUCUAAAAUUUAAGUUAACGGUUAAUAUUUUUGAUACGGAUAAUAAAUUAUUCAUUAAAAACUGAAAUCACAAGUAAAUAUAAAAUCAUAACAUAUCAAAAAUCUGAAAUAUGCGCGUAAGUUACAUCAUGAUUUUUAAUUCAAUAAUAGACUUCUAUUCAUUACAUUAGUAACCGAGUUGAAUCAGUUUUACAUGUAUCAACACACUUAUAUGAAACACAUCUGUGAUUUGUGUAAACAAAUCUCUCUCAAAAUCAGUACCGAAAGCUAGCUGAGAUAUCAAUAAGGUCAAAUUACGAAAAUUUGGACGGAAUUUCCGCCAGAGUUUGAACAGUGGGGGAGGACUAGUGGAGUGGCACCUUUGUAAAUAGGUUCCAAGGAGGAGGUGAAGUUGUUAAAACCAGCGGAGAUAAAGAAGAAAUUUGAAACGAGAGGCCGUUUGAAAUGGAAAAGAGAACAAGUUGGAACUUGAAAAACCCCAAAACCCUUAAAUGCAAAUCAUCAAAGCAACCCUCUGACCCAAUCAAAUAUUUAAACCCACUCUACUCUUCAUUCCCACACUCUGAAAGCUUUUCUGGGUUUCCCAAUUCAGACCCAGAAACUCCGAUGACGGGGAUCGUAAUGGUGACGAGGGGCGGCGGCUGCGGCGGAGGAGGCGGUGGUGGUGGGUGUAAAGAGGUGAAGAAGAGCGCGGCGGAGGAGCAGAGCCAGGUGUCUCUGGUGGAUGUUCUGUUGGCGGCGGUGAGGAAGUCGAUGGUGGCUUGCCGUGUGGAGAGAGGUGAGGAGGUGAUCUCCGCCGUUAAUAAUACUAUGGAGAUCGGGUGGCCGACGAAUGUGCAGCAUGUGACGCAUGUGACGUUUGAUCGGUUUAAUGGGUUUCUGGGUCUGCCGGUGGAGUUUGAGGUUGAGGUUCCUGGUCGGGUUCCGAGUGCUAGGUGAGGAAAGGCCUUGUCUUUGGUUUGUGGGUGGUGUUGGAUUUGUGUUUUUUGAAUUGGGUCUUGGUUAAUGAUUGAAUUGGUGUUGGUUUUGGUUUGUGGGUAGUGUUGGGUUUGUGAAAUUUGAAUUGGGUUUUGCUUGAAUUACUGUUGGUUUUUGCUUUCUGUGUAGUUUCGGGUUUGUGCAUAAUGCUUGGAUUACUGUUGUUUAGGGUGUUUCUCCUUUUUAGAGGUUCUGAGACUUGAAUUGAGCUGAUUGGCUGGGUUGGUGUAGGAGAGUGAGCUGAAUUGCUGCUCUUUUAGCUCUUUAAGCUUCUGAUUCAGGGUUUUGAAGUUGGGUUAGCAUUGAGUACUGUGUUUUGGUAAAUUCUUAUACCUAUUACAUGCUUGGUUACUGAGAAAUUGUUGAUCUUUUAUUUGAGUCGGUGUUCUAGUCAAGUUGAGGUGGUUUUGAAAGCCAUACAGUUGGAUUUGGUCAAUGUGCAAUUUUCUUCUUUAAAUUCUGGCUCUUGCAUGUUCUGAAAUUCGCAUUACCGUAAUGCCAUAGUGGAGAUCUAACUCUUUACGUGAGACUGAAAGUUCUGAUGUAGCUUAUAUAGUAAGUAGAAAAGCAAUUGUUGCGGUUGACAGUUAAGUUCUUACUUGCAUUCACUGUGUUUUAUGUCUAACUUUUGGACCAUCUACUUUAUGCAGUGCAAAUGUGUUUGGCGUCUCAGCAGAGUCAAUGCAGUUGUCUUUUGAUUCAAAUGGAAAUAGUGUGCCUACUAUUCUCUUGCUGAUGCAAGAGAGAUUAUACUCACAAGGAGGAUUGAAGGUAUAAGAUUUUGUCGGAUAUCAAUAGUCUGUUGUAUGUAUCUGUGAGUUUCUCUUGUUUCCAAUUGGUGUUCUUAUACUCCUUUUGAAACUUUUGCAGGCAGAAGGAAUAUUCCGUAUAAACCCGGAGAACAGCAAAGAGGAGUUUGUGAGAAACCAGUUGAACAGAGGCAUUGUGCCUGAUGACAUUGAUGUCCAUUGCUUGGCCGGCCUUAUCAAAGCCUGGUUUAGAGAACUUCCUUCAGGAGUGCUAGAUGGACUAUCUCCUGAAGAAGUUCUGCAGUGCAACACAGAAGAGGAAUCCUUUGAGCUUGUGAAGCAGUUAAAACCAACUGAGGCUGCAUUACUUAAUUGGGCUAUUGGUCUGAUGGCUGAUGUUGUUCAGGAAGAAGAACUCAACAAAAUGAAUGCAAGAAAUAUUGCUAUGGUUUUUGCUCCAAACAUGACUCAGGUAAAUAAUAACACGAGAAUGUAUCUCUUUUUCUUAGUGUGCUCCAAAUUAAAUAUGAUUGGCUUACCCAUUUCUUUUUCCAACUCUUUUCCUGAGCAGAUGUCUGAUCCACUAACGGCUUUGAUGCAUGCUGUUCAAGUGAUGAAUCUGCUUAAGACCCUGAUUAUGAAAACACUAAGAGAACGUGCAGAGACUGAUGAAACUGGAGGGUAUUCACCCAUGUCAUCUUGUUUAUCUGAUCAUCAAUCAGAGGAAGACUUGUAUAGUCAUCCAGACUUGUAUAGUCAGCCAGACUUGUAUAGUCAGCCAGAUAUGGAUGCCACCUCUGAAUUGAGAGGAGGACUAACAUCAGAUUAUGAUGAAAAUGCCCACUACAGCAACAGCAGUGAAGAUGAAGAUGAAGUCCGGCCACUCAGUGACAUAGAAGAAUGCUUCUUAAGACGAUUGGAUGAGAGGAGAACCACCCCAAAUAGCAUGGAAAUGGUGAAUAAACCAACUAGUAAGUCACAUGGUGAGUAUCCGAGUCCUCAGAGUUGCUCAAGCUUCAACACGGAAUCUGGCACAUCUUCUGUUGAUAGCAAAAUUCGGAAUUCUGGUUUGUGUGCAAGUUAUGGCGAAGACUCUGGGAAAUGCACUGAUAUGGGGAGCCCUUCAGGAUCAUGCUCAACCUCGAAGGAAAUGGAUAUGGAGGACAGAGUAGUGGAGUCUGUUUCAACUAGACCUAGGCCAUUGUUUGCAUCUACAUGACUGGCAUGUCAUUUUCAUUUCCACUUCAUUUCCAGUGCGAUCAGAUUAUGCUUAUGCUGCAGAUUUCGGUUUGUUGUCCACAGUCGGUUUGCUUCUGUAAAUUAGUGGAUGCUUUCAGUGAGGAUCUAGUUGGACCAAGCGUGGGAGUGUUUGGUUGUGGUUGAUCCUGAUUGUGACAUUUGAAGAAGGAAGGGUUUAGCUUUGGGCUGAAGUUGUGCUUGAUUUGUAAUAUUGUAGGACCUUUAACCUUGACAUUUCAGUUGUCUGUCUAUUCCAUCAUACUGAUGGUAUUCUGUGUGAAAGUGAGAUUCUUAGGGAGCUUGUGUUAGCUUUAUCUGAUCGAAAUUGUGCUUGUAGUAAUACCAUGACAUGAUUGUAGUAUCACUCAACUUUGAAGAAAUUAAGAGAAGCGCAUGAAAUUAGUUUUGAAUCAUCGUUCCUAGGACUUGGUUCUGAAAUUGUGCGCAUGAAAUUAGUUCCAUUAAAAAAAUCAUUGUUCCUAGUUAAUAAUAUGCACCUGUCUAUCACUAUGAAAAUUUAACUCAUUAUGUUUGGCCUUGUAGGCAGUUUGCUGUACAGAGAACUGUUGUUACAAUGAUCAAAGACUACAGCUUUUCAUUCUAUCAUGAACUUUAUUGAACAAACUGCUAUACAUUCAAGUAAACUUGAAGAUAAAAUUUUAAAAGUGCACUUUUCUGGCAACUCUCACAUGCAUUAUAGGUGAAACAUAUUCCUUGUACGUACAAAACUAAGAACUAGCCAGUAGCCAGUCUUGGUCUAUUUACCAGAGGCAACUCUAGCUUCUGGGUUUAUUUCAGAACCUAUAAUUCCCAUUUCAAAGAGAAUUAUACACACACAGAGAAAGAGAGACUGUAAACAAUGAUCGUAUAUAUCUGAAUCUGUUAUGUACAAUUGCUAGCACUUUUUAACAUAGAAAUGUGUAACACAAACCUUUCUGAUUUUCUGCCUGCUUAAAUUUAUCUAAGCUUUUCCCAGACUAAAAAGCAAGGAUAGAAUGAGAGAAAUUGAUUAAGAAGCUGACUCAGGAAAAAGAUAAAUAGAGCCAACCAGUUUAUUAGGAUGCUAAGCAAGUCUCCCAAAAUAGCUUGCUCUUUUCCACCUCAUUCAACAUCUCAAACUCCUUUGUUGAAUCGACAGAAACAGUUGAUUUCAGCUGGUGCCCCCAUCUCUGGUAAUCUGAAGACAUUACCUCUUCCUCUUCCCCUUCCUCCUCAUGAUCAUCACUGUAACUCCGAUAUUCUCGAACACCACGAUCAUCUUCUUCAUCUUCAUCAUCAUCAAUUACGAUGAGCUCAUCAGCACUGGAAACAUCAGCUGAGUCCCAGCUGCACGACUCAGCAUCAUCCUCAGCCAUGAGAACAUCAGAAACAACCUCAGAAGCAGCUUCAGAAUCCCCACUAUCCUCAAAGAGCAAGAAAGGAGAGACGUCCACAUUAGCUUGGGUCUGCUUCCUCAUCAUCACCAACUCCAUGUUAUUUCUCUCCAUGCCAAAACAUGGAUAGGGAAAUUGAGCCAUUUCCAGCAUUGAAUUCUUUUACGGCUGCACAAGAAUAGGGUGUAGGGACUAAAAACAACCGAGUAGAAUUCUUUUAAGCCUGUCUUGGUUUGACACUUUAUAAAAGUCGUGGAGGGCUUGUUACAAAUACCGCUAUUUUUUUUUUUCUUUCUCUCUAUCAAAUCAAACAUCAUGUAUAUCAUUUAGAAAUGGAAAAGAAGGGCUGGCUGCCUUCUAGAAGCUUAAUUUGCAAAGGGAAAGCACAACGUACUGUUGCUAUAUAUGGCUCAAACCUAAUCUUCUUCUAGAUGGAUGAAGAGUAGGGUUUACAUUUUUCACUCAUUCCACACGAUAUACAUUCGUCUUUUACAAAACCCACCAAGAAUUUGCUUCUCCACGUGUCUGGCACCCAGUUUCCAUGGUUUCACAGGUUUUUACUAUUACUGUGGGUGAAGUUUCCUUUACCUUUCUGGUAUUUAGUUGACUGAGAUUUCUAGUAAACUUAUGGAUGAAGGUUGUUUAUAGGUCAAGUUUCUAGCUUUCCCAUGACGUUAGUACUAGCUAGAAGAGUCUUGAACAAUACUUUUGUUGUAGUAGGAAGACUCUAUCUUCAAUCAUUAAGUCAAAUUGUGUGUUGUUUAAUAGAAGCUACUAUAGUAGAGUUUUGUUUACCAGUUUUAUACAAAAUUGGAGUUAAGUUUUAGAUCUUUCCAUAUGCACUCCUUGCUAUAUUUCUACAAAUUAACAUAAUUUAGACUUGUAAAUUACUACAUUUGUCACUGAAAUGUAUAUUAUUCUCGAUAAUAUACAUUUCACACAUACUUAUCUAUGUUUGUAUAUUAUUCUCGAUACGUAAAAGAACUUGUUCGAGAGAAUUAUUUUUUGAUAAUAUUGUAGAAAUUUCAAAAUAACCGACCAUAUGUUGACAUCAUGAUGAACAAUGAUCAGCACUUGCAAAAUCUCCGACCUGUGAUCCUGAAACACAUAAACAACACGGCUAGAUAUCUAUGAAGGCCUUGACUUGUGGAAAACGAGUGCUUAAUAUUAUUCAUUCUUAGACAAAAACUAAGUUGGUGAUACAAUGAGAAAGAAAUUAAGAUAUAUGCGACCUAGACCAUUACGAAACCAUGUCAAUUUUCCAUUAACUUUUUGAAAAUGACUUAGUGAUGAAGCUCAGAAAUGAAACCCUUCAAACUUGCCCAGGAAAAGUAUACAAAACACUUGUCAAAAUCCCACCAGAAAUUACCAACAACCAUAAUCAUUGAUCCAUAUACAUGUCUCCAAAUUCCAAAUUGCCGUCCUAAUUAAAUCUAUGGCUUGCCAAUUUGACUGGUAAUCAUAAGGCUGUACUUACAAAUACAGCCUGUUAGAAAUUUUAACAAUUACAACCAAAACAAAAUCCUACGUACGUACUCAAAGGUUUAGACUAAUUAAGAUAUAAUCAUUGGCCUGAUGAAUAUGACCACGUACACAGAAAUUACAUGUAAAAUAGGGUUGAACUGGCUCUUAUUAUAACUCUAACGCUGCCAGGUCUUCUCUGCUGUUCCAUUCGUUCAUUUCAAUUUAGAAAUCUGCUUUGUUUUCUAGUGUUCCGGUUGUUGUAUUUGGCCAAAAUUAUAGAAGCAAAAAUAUAAUUGUGGGACACGAAAAUCUUUAUAUUCCAUUUUCUCACAGAGAAGAUGUUGAAAAGUUCCAUAAUGAGACCUGUAAUAUAAUUACACCUUUGAAACGUGGAUUUUACGGUUGCAGCAAAAAAAAUUCAGAGCUUGAUUUCUAAAGAGAGAAGGAGACAGUAUAUAUGAUCAAAACCAGAAAAUGUUUGGUGGGUGGGUGGUAGGAAUUAGGGCAACUUAAUUUAGCAUAAUUACCCUUGUUUUAUUGUUUGAUUAAUUUUUGGUCUAAAACUUGGUACUAUAAGCUUGACUUUUUCUCUGUGGUAGGCUGGAUCUGAAUCUGGCAUGACACCUAUAUAUAAUUGUGGAAACACAAGAAAGUUGUAUGAUUGUUUCAUACAAAAUGGUACACAAGUUGUAAUAGUUUUGAGUUCUUUCAUUUGAAUUAGGUGUAUCAGAUGGGAUCCCAUCACAUAUUCUAGAGAAAUUCCUUGGCCAACAACGGUGAGAAUUAAGUUACUUAUACUUAUCCAAGUGUUCAUUAGAAUACGAUGGAUUUUAUCAAGUAGUUUUUAUCAUCAACGUAAAACAACAAGCAGAUGUGACCCAAUGCUAAUUGAUUUAGUGUUGGUAUAAUUUGUUAUGAAGAAUUAUAUAGUAUAUUUGUGAAAAUAGUGAAUCACUUGCUACUGUCGUGUGAUUUCUUGCUUUACAUAAUUUGGAUCAAUUAGUGAUAUUUCAUGUAUUAUUGAGUAUGUGUGUCCAAAUUUUAUUUAAUCUUUUCCAAUAUGAACCAAAUAAAUAGCGAAACAAAUCAGCUUCUAAUAUAUAUAACCGAGUUUAACAAGUCAAUAACAAAGACAUGUCACGAGAUAGACAAAACUCAAAUAUCAACGCAUUCGCCAUUAAGUCAAGAAAAGCUUAAACAUGGAGUAUUACUUAAUCCACUAGUAAAUUCAAACAUUUCAAAAGUCUUUUUCCAAGAUAAUCUCCCCCUUUACCAAAACAAGGUAAGUUGAUCAUCUCUCAAAGCUUGACCUCUACAUCAGACUGUCUCAAGUCUCAUUUCAGCACAAAUCAUUGAAUGAGGGAUUAGGGAAGGUCUUCGGUCUCAUUAUUCCCUUGACCCCCUAAAGGAAAAAAAGAAAAGAAAAAAGUCCAAGAACAAUAGGGAAUCUCAAAAUGGAUCAACUGGGCUCAAAUAUCUGGUCCAGCAAUAUACUGGGCCAUUCUCGAAGCCCAACCCAAGCCCAAGGACUUGAUUGUAGUCAUUGACCAGUCUCUGUCUAGCUCAGUCAAUACAAGUGACACAACAUGAACAAAAUUUAAUCCAAGUAAGCUUCAUUAAGUUAUGAAGAAAGAUGAAAAGGAAUGCAUGCUGGACCUGUGAAUUCACUGUUCAUCUGAUUAAAGUCCAGAAUGAGAAUGAAAAGAAAUGAAGCCCUGAUCCUGAUGGCAUCUGAAUUUUUGAAAUUGGGAAUCAUACACAGUAGAUUCAGAUUCAUAUUAUAGGACUGUCAACUGUGGGACCAAUAUUAGUAUCGACAAUGUCUAAUGCUUGCUCUGCUUUCCUAGACCAAAGUACCCAACACAGAUCCUAACCAAGAUUCUACCAUUCUAUUCUAUGCAUGCUCCUCAGUCCUCACUUCUCCAAAUUACCAAUAAACUAUACCAAGGUGGUAUUGCUUUGGUGAAGAUGAUGAAAGCUCCUUAUGUCUCUACCAAGGUAUCGGUGAGCCGUGACUUGAUUAGUUAAGGUGUUUAACUGACAAUUUUGAGGUCAUGGGUUCAAACCUCACUGACAUAUGUAGGGUGUGUGAGUUAUUAAUAAAACGUUUAAAAAAAAAAGAAAUGAUGAAGGCUCUUUAUGUCUCUACAACUAUUUUAGUCCCAACUAAUGUAACCGAAUGCGAUUUCUAUAAUAUGUCAUUGUUCAUCAUCUGACGUAAAACUAAUUUCUCUCGUGUGAUUAUAUUCAAAUUUUAAGAGACAAAAUUUUAAAUUAAUGUACUACGAAGAGAUUAACAAUAUUGCACAAACGCAAUGAUUUUAAAAAGUUCACGUAUCUAAUCAUUAAGCGCGUACAAGCUUGUGGGGUAGUGGUGGGUGUGGAUCUAAAGCAUGCGAAAACCUAAACCAUGAUCUAUGGAGCUCUAUCACUUCAAAGGGAAAUUCAUGGUCCCUAAUGUUUCGGGACAAAUAUCUUGGAUAACCAGAGGGACACCAUAUGAUAACAUAUGAGAAACAAAGUAAGAACAGAAAUUGGAUCCGUAAUUUUCAUUUCCAUGUGAGCUAAUGACAUCUAGGAUUCCCUGAAAUAUCAAACCAGAAAUCUACGAUGAUCCAAGGACGUCGUUCUCCAUGACAUUAUGAGUUCCACGUGAAAGUUGGCUGCUACCUCCAAUGGCUUCCCUGUUAUUACCUUCAACACCGAGGUCAAGUACCAAAGCCCUGUAGAUAAAGCGAGAAAUUUGAAACGAGUGGCCGUUUGAACUUUAUAGAAGUUGGUAAGCUUCAAAAACACCAACGGCUUCAACACCCAACACUACUACUCUCAAACACUGAGCUUUGAACUCUCCCUCUCUCUCUUCUUCAACACCAACAUUCGUUCUUGGAUUGUAGAGACAGAGAGAGAUGACUGGGCUUGUGAUGGUGACGAGGGGAGGAGGGUGCGGUGGUAAUUUCAAGGGGGUCAAAGGAGGGUCAACGAAGGAGGAGGAGCAGAACCAGCUCUCGCUGGUGGACUUUCUAUUGUCUGCUAUAAGGAAAUCCAUGGUGGCUUGCCGGGUUGAGCAAGCUGAGGAUAUGAUCUCGGCCGUCCAGAACUUGGAGAUCGGGUGGCCCACCAAUGUCCGGCACAUUACGCAUGUCACGUUCGACCGGUUCAAUGGGUUUCUGGGACUUCCGGUUGAGUUUGAGGUUGAGAUUCCUGGUCGUGUUCCAAGUGCCAGGUAAGGAAAGAUCUUGUCUUUGGUUUAUUGGUGGUGUUAUGUUUGGGAAAUUUGAAUUGGGUUUUGCUUAGAAUGCUUACUUCAUUGUUCUUUUUGUCUGUUUUGGAAGUUAGAUCUUUGAGAUAGUUGAAGUAAGGAACUAAGGAUUCCUUAGUACAUGUUUGGUUUCAGAGACAAGCUUCUAGAAUCUAGUCAAUGUCUUAGUUAGAUUUGGGUAACUGACUAACAAAUUAAGAAACUAGUUGCUGUAUGUGAGCUAACAAAGGAGUUGGGAGCUAGUUUAGUCACUAUUGAGCUGGCUAACAAAAGGAAGUAGGAGUUUUUAUGGGGGAUUUCACUGCAUAAUCUAACUUGCAAAUGAUAUCUUUUUGCAGUGCAAGUGUGUUUGGAGUCUCAGUUGAUUCAAUGCAGCUGUCUUUUGAUUCAAAAGGGAAUAGCGUGCCAACCAUUCUGCUUCUAAUGCAGGAGAGGUUAUAUGCACAAGGAGGAUUGAAGGUACAAGAUUUUGUAUAUGUGUAUCAAUAUUCAAUAGAAUCAUUUGUGCAGUGCAGAUGUGUGAGUUUCACAUUUUCGGUUUUUGCAGGCUGAGGGAAUAUUUCGUAUAAACCCAGAGAAUGGGCAAGAGGAGAUUGUGAGAGGCCAAUUGAACAGGGGCAUUGUGCCAGAUGACGUUGAUGUUCAUUGUCUGUCUGGUCUGAUUAAGGCCUGGUUUCGAGAGCUUCCUUCGGGUGUGCUAGAUGGUCUAUCCCCUGAACAUGUUCUUCAGUGUGAGACAGAAGAGGACUGUGUUGAGCUUGUUAAGCAGUUAAAGCCAACUGAGGCUGCAUUGCUCAAUUGGGCCAUUGAUCUGAUGGCUGAUGUUGUUGAGGAAGAAGAAUUCAACAAGAUGAAUGCAAGAAAUAUUGCUAUGGUUUUCGCUCCAAACAUGACUCAGGUACUUCAAACAGUAAAAAUGAUCUCUCUUUUGGCUAGUACUGCUAAUAUUUUAGGUUGAUCAUUAAUUCCUUGUGCAAUUCUUCCCAUACCAGAUGUCUGAUCCAUUGACGGCUUUGAUGCAUGCUGUUCAAGUAAUGAAUUUGCUCAAGACCCUGAUUACGAGAACACUUAAUGAGCGGGAAGAGACUGAGACCGGACCAUAUUCACAAUCACCUAUGUCAUCUUGUUCAUCUGAGGGUCAAACAGAUGAAGACUUUGAUAGUCAGCAAGAGGUUGAAAGCAGCUCCGAGGUAAUAAAGACUUCACCAACAUCAGACUAUGAUGAAAAUGGAAGCAGCAGCAACAACAGUGAAGAUGAAUCUGAAGUCAAGUUACUGAAUGACAUAGAAGAAUGCUUACGGCAAUUGGAUGAGAAUAAACUGUCGACAAAUAACUUGGCAAUGUUGGGCGAACUGACUAGCGAGUUGCAGGGUGAGUGUUUCAGUCCUCAGAGUUGCUCCGGCUUCAAUGUGGAGUCUGCCACAUCCUUUACAGACAGCAAAAAUAGGGAUUCUGACUCGAGUACAAGUGACGGGGAAGAAGACUCUGUAAAAUCUAUCAUAGCUGUGGCACAGGACUCUGAUAUAAAAAACCAGACAAGCACAAAUGAAAUGGAGCUGGUAAACAGGUCUGUGGAGUCCGUUUUGCCUAUGCCAUUAGCUGCAUCUACUGAAUCUGUUUGACUGGCAUUUCAAUUUUCCAGUGCUCCAAAAUUACGACUCUCUUCUUCUACGGUUGUUUGUGACUCGUCAGCUGUUUGAGUUCAGCUUUGGGCUGAAGUCGUGCUUGAUUUGUAAUAGAAUAGGACCUCUAACAGUAACAUUUACUUAAAAUGUUUAAUAGUUAGGAGUCUAAUCCCGUUACCAUAUACAUGGUAAUCUGUGUGGAAGUUUUCCAGUACAAUCUUAGGGAGCUUGUCAAUGUGUGGUGAAGUUAAUGUUUGUAUUUUAAUGAAGUUAAACGCUUGUGUUUUAAUCUGAUAAUUUCAUCAUGCUUCUAGAGUUCUAGUUCUUUUGCUUAGCCAAACAAGCUUAAGAUUUUGUUGGCUUUAAACUUUGCUUUUUCUUUGAUCGGAGACAACUGCAUGCUCCUAACAGCUACAGGUUAUCACAAAAUGUAUAACUUUGUUCUAGUCUUCUAGAUGGAACAACCGAGUACCUAAAAGGCUAAAAGCAACGUACUACGAAGCACCAAAUUACAAAGAAGAAUGUACCAAACUUGUUUCGACAAAAUGAUACAAAAAGCAGCUAUUUGUUGUAACAAGCACACAAGCACAAUAACUUCUGCUUACAAGAGAAGCAAGAAUCAAUAACAUAUGGAUGAAACAAGCACCCAUGACUGAUGUAUGGAAGUUCUGCUUGUCCUGAAAGAUCAUUAAGCGUUAGCGAUAUGCUGGAGGGAUAGUGCCAUUAGUGCGUCCUUAUAAGCAUAUUUAGUAGUUUACUGCAAAUGUCAAAAUAAGGAUGAAGAAAUGCAGAAUACCAAUCGAUGUCAAAGUAAAGUCACUAUAAAAUAGUUGUCCAUCCAUGAUAUUUCAAAUUUCCCCGGGAGAUCGAUAAGGAGGAAUCCAAGGAGACAGUUUUCAACUUAUGAGCAUAGCGGUGUUCAAAAACUAGUACCCAACAAAUGAUAAUGAAAUCUACAUGUGCCAGUUUGCAAGUAAUAUUAGCCAAACUACUCUUAUGGCAUACCAAUGGCAAUAUGGCAUAAUGAAAAUCUCAACCCCAGUGACCUAAUUAUUCAUUAUUCUCAUUUUGAGUUCCCCUAGCUACACUGUUUGAUGAUGAGUUGUUAGAAGUCAAUUUUAUUCUUCGAGUACAUGAAGCUUUCAACUAGAGGGCAUCAGUAGCAUUCGGCAUGUACUCAUUUGAGAUCUGCGCAUAUCAACAAAAGAGGCAUCAACAGUGCUCCUAUAUACAAGAAAUUUUCAUAGGUCAGUCAAUAACGUGCUUCCGUGAGGUCUGUAUCAUCCAUUUCAUUAUGAUAAUUUCAAAUUCAAACAAAUGCCGUAUGCCAAACUUUCAGGCCAAAAUUAGAAGAACAUAGAUGCCUGCCACACAAGAAAACCUAUGAUUCCAUAUAACGCAACAGCUACUGACUCGGUAGAUGAAGAUAAAAAAAAAAAAAAAAUUAAUUAAAUUCAAAGACUACACAUUAAAGGAAAUCCCCAAAAAGAAAAGCCCCACAUACAAUACUUAUCAUAAAUGAGAUGUAUCAAUAACAGAAACUAAAGACUUGUGUUUCAAGAAUAGGAAGAGCGGAAAAACUCAUUAAGCAAUCAGAGGAAUUGAUGGGGUUCCUAAAGUUUGUGGAUAUUACCUUCAUCAGCUGCAAUCCAGAGAGCAAUAAAGGCGCUUUAUUAACUUACCUCUCUAAAAUAUCAACAGACAGUUUGAAGCAAAAGAAGCAACAACUGAGACCACAGAUGCAGAGUUCUACCUGCAGCCUGCAGCAAUCAUGGCGUUUAAUGUAUGAGUACUCAUGAACAAAAGCUAACUUAUCCUUCCAAAAAAAAGCUAACUAGUAUCCUUCCAAAAAAAGAAAGCUAACUAAUAGAAUUAUAGAGACAUGCUCAAACUUCAAUCAAGUUACCUGCAUCAUGACGCCAAUGAGUGCAGGAGUCACUUCUUCAACAUUUUAAACCAGACUGAGAGCAUAUCAGCAUGCCAGAUGUUAACUCAAGCCAACAAACCAACAUAUAGGUAGACACACAAGUACAUAUAACAACCCUAGAUUCACAGUAAGAAUUGCCACUAUCAAUUGCUGAGCUAUAUAUACAGAAAUAAGUAAAAAUAUGGAAAAGUAUUAACAUAUAGAUCAGAUGCAUGAUAUCAAGUGAAAUUAAAUAAGAACGAUAUAAACAAGCGCUUCUUAUCACAUCGAUUUUCGCAUGCCUAAUUAAAACAUAAUACAUGUACAGAAGAAUGGUUAAUCAUGGCUGUGAUAUUACUUCUAACUUCCAAGUUCCAAGUAACUUUUAUAACUGGAAAGGCAAUUCAUUGCAACAAGAAUACAGUCAGAAACCUACUAUAUAUAUAUCUUAUUCUUAUGUACUACCAGGAUAGAACACAGUUAUGAAAUAGAAGACUAUGAAAUUAGGUCUUUAGACUGUGGAAACAAAAGAAUCACGGAUCAAUUAUCAUGAAUUAUACAAUGAGAUGUUCGCGAAUGAAGAAUGAAUAAAUUGAUAAUUACUGUCUAAAAGAACGUUUGAUAUAAACAAAUUACAGAUUGUAUUGGUACAGUAUGCACCAUGAAUUACAAAUUUUCAGGCCUUUCAUUCCUUGGGGAAAUUACAAGCAGGAUGGAAUAAACCAUAUCAUUGCAAAUCAUCUAAAUCCAUCCCACAAUGUUGAUGCAGCGACUCCAUACAUCCAAUUUGCAUGCGACCACUUGCUAUAAAGAACUUGCGUCCUUCCAUCACUCACCUUGAAAUUAAUAGGAUUUGUUCUGCUUGUUAUCUCUCUUAAGCUGAACCUUUAAUUUCUUACCACUUAACUGGUAUCCAUUCAUAACAGUGAUAGCAGAUUGAGCAGCCUCCGGUGAAUCAUAACUUACAAAUCCUGCAAAUAUAAACAGCUUAGAGAACAGCAUUUACACACAACUCACACAAGGUAAAAUUUUGCUGGAGAAAUGAUCUCACCAAAACAUUUGCUGACACCGGUUGCUUUAUCAACAAAAACCUUGGCACUCAAAACCCUACCAAAUGCUUGAAAAGCAUUAGCAAGCUCUUGAUCUCCAAAUUCUUGAGGUAUGUGAUAGAUAAAUAAAUUGGCACCAGGAGGACCUAAGUCACAGAAAAUAGAAUGAUUGAUGAAAUACCACCACCAAGAACUUUAUCGUUAAUUUAAAAAUCAAGACAUGUAUAGAUAACAACCUUCAACCUGACCCCCGGAACUUCUACUGGUGCCUAAGGAUGUGGCUGGGUUACUGUUCAUAACUAAAGGUGACAACGAGCCAGGUGAGGCGCUCAAUGGCCGGUGACUCAUCAUUCCUCCCGCAUAUACCAUCGGAUGCUGAAGACCUGGAACCCCAGGAUAACCAGAACCCAGGUAGCUUGGACGCAUAGCGAAAUUUCUAGGGGCAAUAUUGGGAGGAAGGUCGGGUGCAAUUCGGUGUAAAGCAUUUCCUUGAUUUAAAGGGGGUACCAUAUUAUGGAAACCUGGUUGAUUUUGCAGUGCUGGCAAGCGGUAUUGCAUGAGGCCAUAAGUUCCAGGAGCCUACAGUGGGAAUGGAACAAUGAUCUAUUGUUACACUGAUAACUAUAUCGACAGACAAGAAUUAACAUAUUUAUAAAAUAAAAAUAAAAACAAGACUAUCAAAUAUCAUGUUAAGCAUUCACAUAUAGGACCUGAUCCUCAAGAUUCACCUGAUAACUAUAACCAUUAUAUGAGGGAACAUAACCCAUAGGUAAGGCUCCAAAUAAAGACGGAGGUUGUGAAUCAGAAUUCGGCACAUUAGCACCCUGAGAAUGAGCUUUUUGAGCUCUCCGAGCUAGCCUUUCCUUCUCUGUGUCUGCCCAUUUGACAACCAAAGGAACACUAGAACCCUGAAAACACAAGACAUACCAAUGAUGAAUUCAACUGAACCAAACAUAUCACUACCCAUAGACAUGUAUACAAGACUACAUUUUAAUUUGAUACACUGAUUGCUGACUUAUCAUCCGACCAAAUUGCUGACUUAUCAACCAUCAGCAUGAUUCAUUCAAUCAGAAUAGAGACGUUUCUACUAAUAUGUGUGUCUUCAUAAAUACUAAAAGAGGGAAGCCAGUAAUAGAAACAUAGCUUCAAGAACUAAAAAAACACAUAACAUAUUUCAAUAUGCAUUUUAAGCCAUUACAACAUGAACAGACCUCCAUUUUGUGUUUUCCAUUAACGGCUUCCAGGGCAGCAAGUGCUUGUUCUUUCGUUUCGUACUUUAAAAACGCACAGCCUGACAAAUAGAAAGAACAAUGUUUAUGUACAUUCCCUUUAUUAGUGUAGGACCAGUAUACUUUAAGUGCCACUCAAGCAAUAAAGCUAACAUACAGGAAAGACAACUUACCUUUGCUUGUUUGCUGAGAACCCCUUAAUAUCUGUAGGUCCUUUACUGUUCCGUAUUUAGAGAAAAGAUCGGAUACUUCAACUUCGGAGACAUUCUUAGGAAGCAUACCGACAAAGAGCUUAUGUUCUGAAUUACAGGGAGAAAUAGAGCAUUAUCAUCAAUGAAAUACAAGAAAUAUUGGUUUAACAAAACUUUGUAUGAAUACUCUCGAGGAAAAUUGAGUAAGUCAAUUAUCAGAUCAAUAUUGCACCUAAUCUUUCCAACUCGCCAUCAGCAUACUUCACUUGCAACGGACUCGAUGCCUGAAUUGGACAAAAGAACAAAGCAGCUAUCAAUCUGAAUGGGAAAAAUUAAUCAAAAGAAGUUAUGAAAAGUUCCCACUGAACUAGAGAAAUAAAAUAGACAACAAAAUCUGUUUUAGUUGACAUUAUAUCUUCAAUCAAGUUACUGUAAACCAUUAAACCAUAGUUUUUAACACUUGAUGAAUAACAUUCAUUAAACGGCAUAGGAACGAGCCCAGUUCUUGCCUGGGAAACUACUUGAAGGUCCAGCAAGGCCUACAUAGAUCCCUCAGUUCUAAAACCUAUGCCAGGAAGAUGCCAUGUUGCAUGAGCAUACACUUUAUAAAUUAUUUGUUCAUAUAGCAAGCUGCCAAUCAUGAUUUCUAGCAGGUAAACUUUGACACACAAAGAUUGCCUAAUUGUGGUUUAGAUUUCAGAUGCUCAAUAUUUUCUGAUAUGAUCUAACCAACGUCAGUGUGUUUCAUCCGCUUUACUAAAACAAACACCUAACUUGCCUUAAUUUCAAUCACUUCUAAAUGGACAAUGAUAUGUUCAAAUAAAUCCUCUGACCGGGAAAACUCAGAUUUUAGCUUCAACUAGUUCACAUGAACGAAUUCUACUUUACUUUGUGGGAAAUGUAUGCCAUUUCUCGAUUUCUCCAUCCAUGGCAAUGCUCUGAUGUUCCACUACAAGUUGUCAGUGUCCUAAUACGCAUCACCAUGUACAAAUCAUUAUAUCUAAAGAGAAAUUCUGCUAGCCCUCCGCAGGAAAGAUGAAACAUAACCAUAGGAGCCUACCGCAAUUGUUCAAGGAAGAAAAUACAAUAUGUGCCAGGUAAAUUCACCUUUCUCAGUGCGAUAGUAAUUACAAAACUCUUUAGUCAUAAGUCUCGGCAUUGUUACAUUAAGCUUCAGUUAUGGUUAAACAUUCAAUACACAUUUUACAGCGCAACUCCGAAUCCACUGAGUUUUGAUUAGUAACUCACUAACAGAUAGUUAGCAUAAUUAAGAUCAACUUAAAAAAUAGUAAAUUCUAUAUAAGGGCGUAGAUUGGAAUCACAUCGAAGUUAACGAAGCUAUCAACUAGAAUCACAAAACAAGAAAUGCAUUAACAGAGAUCCGAAAAAUUGCACUAACCCCAGGCAAGGUCUUCUUAUUGUGACAUGCAUUGACCGCCUUGUCUGCUUCCUCUCUAGAUGGACAUAUCACAAAGCAACACCCUGCAAAUCAAAUCAAGCAUUCAAUUAGGUCUUGAAACUCCGAAAAACAUGCACUCCAAUCACCGCAAAUCUCGCUCAAAUCAAACACAUUUCUCUCUAACCAAAUCAAACCAAACACACAUGCUGUAAUGACAGACGAAAUCAUUAACCAAAUCAAACCAACCUCUAGACGCGCGCGUGGUCUUGUCCUUGAUGAUGUUGACCUCGUCGACGAGGGAGAACUCUUCGAACAUUGUGAGGAGUUGAGCUUCGUUCAUGUGCUUCGGGACUUGCCCCACGAACAGCUUCACGCUCUCUUCGCUGUUCGGCGGCCGCCUCUCCUUCCUCACCUCCGCCAUUAAUGCCCCCCUAUCCUCCUCCUUCUUCUCUCUCUCUCUCUCUCUCUCUCUCUCUCCUCUUUCUUCUUCUUCACUCUCUCUCUCUCUCUUCAAGCUUUCUCUCUCUAACUUCUCUCUAGAUUCUCUCUCCCCUGUAAAAAGGAUUUUCGAUUUUAUUUUUUUUUCGGUUUUCUUUUCUUUUCUUCGUGGAGUCGUCGCACGCAAAAUUGGGGUUUUUUCUGAAUGAAAUGGCAAACUUGGAUCUCUCUCUCUCUCUGUUCGUUUUUUUAGAUUUAUCGUAAUUUAAUUAUUUUUCUGGCCCUCGGAUUUGUCAUUUAUUUACGGGAAUGCCACUUCAGAGCAGUUGCAGUUCAAUCAUCAACGCUUUGGGGCUGUGCAGUUCGAAUUUGUGUUGGCAAAGUUACUCUUUUGCCCUUGCGUUGUCUUUACGGAAGGACAUUACGAUGUGUCCAACACUUCCAUGUUUAUUACGGAUACACAUGGUUUUUUUCUCUCCUUACAAGUCUAACAAAUUCCUUAAAUUGUUUGAUUUUCUCUAUUUUAAAAAAUAUGAGGUCAUUUUCCACUCCAACAGCUGCCCUAUCUUAUUCUUUAAAAUAGGGAAAGAGAUGAAAGAGAAGCUUUGCUUCCCUAUAUUUAGAGCAUCUCUAACAGCUUCUCCAUAAUUUCUCUAUUAUAGGGAAGCAAAAGUCAAUGCUUCAAGUAAUUUUUCUUCUACAACUCUAACAGAUUCCCUAUUUUGGAGAUUUCAAGAUGAUUCCCCAAAUCCUUCUAUAAAAUUUGGAGAAUGCUGCAGAUUUGGGGAAUUUGAGUUUCUCUUUCAUCACAUUCCCCAUUUUAAAAAAAGUUUUAGGGAAUCUGUUGGAGCAAAACACCCAAAAUCUUCUCCAUAUUGGAGAAUUUCAAGAAUUUGGGGAAUCUGUUGGAGAUGCUCUUACAAAUUCUCUAAAAAUAUUUAGGGAAAGAAGAAUUGAAUGUUGCACAUUCUUCAAGACUCAAAUAUAAGAAAGAAAACAUAAUUUAUUCUAAAAAAAUAAACUUUUAUAUUUUAUACUUAUUAUUAUAUUGUAAUAAAUGAGGAUUGUUAUUCUAAUAAAUAUUUGAAUCUUUAAAAUAAGGAAACUGUUGGAUUUGGUAUACAAAAAUUUUAGAGAUUUUGAGUUUUGCUUCCCUAUUAUGUAGAAAAUAUAAAGAAGCUCUUGGACUUGCUCUAAGAAACUAAUUUUCAUCAAAUCAAAUUAUCAAUUAAACAUAUAAAUAAAAAUUACUUAGAAUGUGGCUAGAGACUAAAAUAUAAAAAUACCUAAAAUGUCUUACGCACAUUAUGUUUUGGUAGAAUGUUGCAGAGAUCCUCUUUAUAAGUAAAAUUUUUUAAGUUCAAUUAAAACGCGGUUCAUUCACAAUUCUCAUAAAGUAUUACAAAUGUAAAAACACUAAAGAUGUAUUGUUAGACAAACAUUAAAUAAUUUAACAUUUAUUGCAAUACAUCAUGAUUUAAAGACAUCUAUAAGUAUUUCUAAAUAUAGUUAUUGCAAACAUGAUAACCAUUCCAUCACUCAAAUCUCACUAAAUAUAGUUACACAGAUAUGCUAAUAGGGACCCAAAAAAAAAUACACAAAACAAAUAGAAAAUGAGGAAGAGCAAGACAAAAUUUUGGUGACUUUUGUAACCAAAAAGAAAAAAAUUGGUGACUUUAUAUAUUCUAUUUGUGUAAGAAUUUAAUCAUUGUCACAUAAUGCUCUCCCCCCACUUGGUUUCCAUUUUUAAUUCAAAAACAGUGACAUGUCAAUAGGUAGCUUCAUUUGGGCACUACAAAAUUGGACCAAGAAGAAGCACCCCCCAUGCCAUUCCCAUCUAUGCUUGCCCCCCUUUCAUGGUUUCAUGGUUUUUGCUCCAUUCACAACAUUCCUCUAUACGCAGUAACAAACACACCAAUGAUUAUUGUAAAAAAGAAAGAGAAAUUACCCGGGGGUAAUUUGGUGAUUUUGAGUGGUUGACUACAGAGCAGCAUAAAGAAUGAGGUCAUUUUCAAGUGAAAAGGGGAGGAAAAGGUGAUGGGGGAAGGGGAGGGGCAGAACGGUAAAUAAAGGGGGAGGGGUAGGAGGGUAGUUUAGCGUGAAAACCGGUGGCAAAAGGAUAAGAACGCCAGACUGUCCCGCCAAAGAAGCUGCUGUAGGUGGUGCUUCUCCUCCAAGGCAGCGCCACUUCAACACACUAAACGUUACAACUUGCACUUGUUUCAGACAAGAGGUGACUCUGAUUUUGAGAAACCCUGUAGUUUUGAGCCAGAUUUUAUUGCAAGGUGAAUUUUUGGUUUUGAAUUUUGUUAACAGUAAGGUUUUUAAUUGUUUGGUGUCGUGAAUUAGAAGUUAGAUACUUGGAUGAAUAGAUUGUAUUUGAAGUUACGAUUACAUCGAAUGUAUCAGAGUCUAACAUAAUUUUCAUAAUUCACACUUAUGAUGCAUAUUAGGUAGUGUUAAAUACGGUUACAGACGAGCGAUAUAAUUUUGUCGUUUAAUAAACGUCAUAAGCCUUUUUUUUUUUUUCACGUGUUACGUACAUAACUAUUUUAGAUAGUGUUGCUCGAAUUAAUACACAUUGGUUGGUUGUGUGUUAACUUUUUUACUGAGUAGUGUAAUGUGUUAGUUUGAAUUGUUUUGGUAGCUAGUCAUCAAAUGUAUCAGAUAUAAAAAUGAUCGAUUUGUGUUUUAACAUGAUUACGAGUAUACGAUGUUGUUUGUCUGAAAUCAAAAGAAAGUUGAAAAGAAAUCGUCAAGUAUUAUUUCAAUUGUUUUUGUUACUAGUAAGUUUAUUUGUCAUACAAGUGUCAUUAAAGCAGAAACAAUAACAAUGUGUGAGGGUCUUCAUAUUGCUUUGCUCCAACAAUAUUAGCAUAUUUUAGUAAAAGGUGAUUCGAAGCUGCUUAUUGAUUGUGUACAAGAUCGGGCGUCUAUCCCAUGGAGGAUUAUGGUUUUAUAACUCAUGAUCCCAGUUAUUUAGCUCACCAGUUUCAUAUGGUGGUAUGUAGGCAUGUAAACCAACAGGCCAACUUUUUGGCGGAUAAAUUAUUAUUAUUUUUUUCAUUAAAUCCAAGCAAGUAGAUUUAUUGGACGCCACCAAGAACCAGCUCACAUCGAAAAUGGGGCCCCAAAUCCUCCAUGCCAAUGCUGGACUAUAUCUGGGUCAAACCGCAAAGUGGGCCGACGGUGAGGUUCGAAUUUUCAGUGAUUUGAUGAGCUAUACGACAUGACGUCUUGACCACUCAAGGAUGGCAUGCAGUUUGGCCACUGUCACUACACAUAAUAGUUUGGUUUCUGAUAACCCUUAAAGUCAAAUUGCUAGUUGUACCUAAAUCACUAUUGUUAAUCAAAUAGCUGUAUACGUUGCUUAUGUAGGCUUCCUUGUCUAGCUACCUCCAUCACAAGGACAACUAUUGAAUCAAGCAACCAUUAACAUAUUAUACAUGCCAAGUCUUUUACAUGAAUUUUAUCGAGGUGAAUGUAAAAUGAUUGUUGAAGUGAUUGUAACGCUUCAUUAUCAUUUUAGUUACCGAAUCUAGCAUGUAUCGAUCCUAGCUAGAUUUCCACUAUUGUUUUUAAACUCAGUUUUUAAGCUAGUAUCGACUACUUAUAUAUUGUUCUUAGUCUUAUUUCCGUUCAUUUAUGCUGCUUUGAUUAAAUUGCUCUGAGUCUCAAUUCAAUUAUUUGUAAUCCUUACUGAUCCUGGUUGAAGACAAUGUUCACACCAUGAUAGUUCCAUCAUAUAUUUUGACUAACUAUUUAUACUCACACCAUGAGUAUAGUGAAAUUAUGUCAGAUAAAAAAUGAAAAGAAAAAUUGUCACAUAAUUUAAGAGAUGUUUCAUUCUUAUUAGGGUUUGGUUCCUGCUUUCCUGUUUAGGACAAGGAAAUUAGGAAUGGAGCGAAACCUAGUUGAUUGAGGAAUGAACCAAAAGUCCAAAACCCUAUUUAAUCCCUAAAAUCACAGGUGCCGCACAGCUUACCUAGUCUUAUGUAUAUUCUUUCGAUCUAGCAAGAUCCUCGAUCGAUAAGAAAUCACCACGAUGAACAUAGCUCAGGGAAUCGUAAGAGGCAGUCUGCAGUCGCUAGAAGCCGUUUGCAAGGCCGUCUGUCACUUAGUGUGGCAGCCGGCCGCCGUCUCCAAAGCUGCUACUCAUGAAGGGCAGAUUAUUUGUCACACACAAAAUCUCCUCCCCGCAAAACAAAGUAAAUUCGAAAGUUUAUUCUCCCUCCUGGAUUGGAUCACCGGAGGCGGACGCAGCGGCGGUGGUGCUGAUAAGGAGAUAGCCAAGGAGAAAACAGUAGUGGAAGCAAAGCCUCAUCAUCCGGACGAUUUCCAUGUCUGUGGUCCUCGCAAUGUGUCUCGCCCUAAUUGGAGAGACCUGAUCAGAUCAAGUUGGAAGAACGACAAGUACAAAAGAAGUGUGAUUGCUUGCUUCACGCAUGCAAUGUACUUGCUGGAGAUGGAUAGACAAGAAAAGAGAGAAGCAGCCUCAGCUGUUGCUCCCAAGUGGUGGGAGCGCUUCAAGUAUAAGCUUACCAAGACCCUUGUGGACGAAAGAGAUGGAUCGAUUUUCGGCGCAAUUCUGGAAUGGGAUCAAUCUGCAGCAUUUGGUGAUUUUGUUGUCAUGAGACCAAGCGGCGCAUCAAGAGCGGUUUUAGCUCUUAGAGGCACAUUGCUUAGGUUUCCGACGAUUAGAAGGGACAUAGAAGAUGAUCUUCGUUAUGUUGCUUGGGAGAGCUUGAAGGGUUCUGUUAGAUUUGGAGUCAUUUUAAAGGCUUUGAAAUCAGUAGCUGAGAAGUAUGGAAGUGACAAUGUGUGCAUUGCUGGCCAUUCAUUAGGAGCUGGGUUUGCUCUUCAAGUGGGAAAGGCAUUGGCUAGACAAGGGAUGUAUGUAGAGACUCAUUUGUUCAAUCCGCCUUCGGUUUCGAUAGCACCGACUUUGAGGGAUAUUAGAGAGACAGCGGGAUUUGUUUGGAACAGGUUUAUGUCAAUGCUUCACUUGAGGAAUGAUCAAAGUGUUGUUGAAGUUAAACAAAGUGAAGUAGUAGUUGGGGAUACUGAGAGGAGUACUAUUGAUUUUGGGUUGAAGAAGUGGAUACCAAGCUUUUCGGGUUUGAUGAAUCGCAGUGGGGGUUUGAGAAAAUGGUUGCCUCAUCUGUAUGUGAACAAAAGUGACUACAUCUGUUGCUAUUAUGCUGACCUUGACGAGGGAAUAGAAGGAAACAAUGCUGGUGAAAAGAAGAACGUGUGUCGGAUAACAAAUGGGCAAGUAGCAGCCAAGCUGUUUGUGAUGCCGAAGCGAAAUCAAAGGUUUCUAGAGGCACAUAGUUUAGAGCAAUGGUGGUCUGAAGAUUUGGAACUUCAGAUGGCUCUCCGUAACAGUAAGCUUAUCAGCAGGCAACUGAGAUCCUUGUAUAGCGUUCCAGGUCCUCAACUAGCACUUGCUAGAUAACAAGGGCUGCUUGGUUUCAUUACUUGAUAAAUAAAUUGUUCUUUGGACAUGUUACUUUAUAUCAAACAAUUAAUUCAUAAUGUCUUCUGCAUUUGCUUAGAAUAAAUUAGAAAAACUCGUCGAAAUUUUGGAUUUUAUCUGUAAGUUGUUUGGGAUUUGAUUCUAAGGUCCAUCAGUGUUUUCAUGUUUGUUGGUUUCAUUCUCUUCUCGGCUUCUAGGUGCUCUGAAGAAGCAGAUAAGUAACAAGAUUUCUCCAUUGGAGCUUAAUUAACAGAGCAAGAAGCUCUGAAAUUGAAAGGUUUUGUGGGCAGAAGGUGGAAUGGUUCAGAGUUCAGACCUCUAAUCGGGUACUCUUACGUUUUGUUUUCAUCCCACCGUAUUGUACUUGCUCUGCUCUAUUCUGAAAAUGCCAAAGUUACAAGCUUUGUAUCCCUAUUACAUUUUUCACUACUGGACUAAGACUUCUCCACUAUUUUAGUUUUUCAUGCUUAGUGCUUUGAGAUAAAAGGAACAAGAAUUUAUCCAAAAAAAAAAAGGAACAAUAAGUUCAUGGCCUAGUUACAGAUGUUAGUUUAUUUCUAGUAUAAGUUGUUUUGCUGCGACUCCCCCGGCACACCCCUAGGCACUCGGUGUAGUCCUGUCCAUCAAAGUCUACAAGAGGCUAAGGCUUGGAAGAAAUCCAACAACGAUGGAGCUUGAAAGGCUCCAAGCCAAUGAGAAACCCAUCUUCGAAUAACCAGUACAAUGUUCCAUUGUAAGCAAUGGAUGCAAUACUGUGCUUAGUAUGAUCAAAAUAUCCAUCACUGUCUUGUGGGCAUUCAACAAAUUCUAUCCAUUUACCAGUGUCAGAUGUGAAGACCUUCACCCCUGAGAGGCACCAAGAGAGGCAGGAGGAAGAGCAACCCAUUGCUUGGUGUAUGGAUUGCAGAUGUAGUAAUUCCGCAAGCAACUAAGGUCACACAACAAAAUCAAGUCAUUGUGCGUGCCUUCCACAAUUAAUCCCAUCUUUAUAGUGGGGGGGGGGGGGGGGAUGAGGCUGCUGGUUUGAAAAUAGUAAGGAGUUCUUUUGCGAGAUGUCCACAGCCCACGGCGCGUGAUGUUAACGGACAUGAGAAUUUGGUCGGUGUCGUCGCAAUUGUUACGGAGAUAUAGUGCACGACGGGUUUGGAAGGAAGGGAGAUGAGAGUCGACCACGAUUUGCAGACACACUUGCAUCUUAAAACAAACUUGCAUGGAAGUCGACAUAGGAUUACAACCAAUACAUUGUCUGGGACAUCAUCCAGCCGCAAUAUAGAAUCGAAUGUAACAGUAGCGAUUCCUUUGCUGUAGGUGAUUCUCAUGGCGGCCGGAAAAAGCUUUGGUGUUUGAUAGAAAUUCAUGACAACAAGAGAUCCUGUUAGUGCAAAUAUUGUUGGGAUUCCUUCUUUAAACAAAACCCUACCUCCUUCAUUAUCUUUGUCAGAGGCAUUUGUAGGCAACAUACAUUGAAUUAAAACUAGGAAGUAAUACAUAAUCCAACUAGGAUAUAAAAAAAAGUGAACCUAAUCAAAGUCUCAAACUAGACAAAAUUACCUAAUUCAACUAGGAAAGUUGCUUCUGUUAGCUAGCCUGUAAUCCAUCGAUAGAACUAACUAGCUAGGCUUCAGACCAAAAAAAAAGAACUAACUAGCUAGGCCAUUACUUUCUCCUUUCAAACCCAAAGUCAAUAUUGCUGCAAUCUUCAUUGUCACAAUAUAUUGUCAUAGAUGAUAUUCAUAAAAAAUAUGUUCUCAUUGAUGAAGACAGCAAGUCCUGAAAUUUUGCUUAUAUGAAAAGAGAACCACGAACAUGACAAACUGAAUCAGCUUCUUGUUAUUGCAAGAUAACAUGAAGACACAAGUGUAACAGUUCUCAAAGAUGUUGUUUCUGUUCGAUUGGAUACAUCCAGGCGAUUAAAAAAUGUUGGAUGGAUUAUGGUGUACAAAUAACUGGACCAAUUAAUUGGACCCUCGCAAAUUGAGGGGUAUAAUGAUAUGCAGGGACACCAUUCUCAAACAGGUUCCCUUCAUAACGGUACUUCAAGAAUCAGCUACAAAAUUUGAAUGAAGCUUCUAGUGAAAAAGACCAACCGAAAAUGGGUACUAUCUCCAUAAUCUGGGCGCUUGAGGAGACGAAUAGGCAAUUGCAGACACCAAUCAUGAGGCUAGAUUAGAUUGCUUUCAUUCCAACAAGCUCACGUAGCUGCUCACAGACUACAAAGGUAAUUGUCGUUUGUGGACCCAAUCUUGCAAACAUUGCAAGGCUCCUGAAAAAAAAAAAAAAAAAAAAUAACAUUUUUAGAUUGCAUGGAACCAAUAUGCAAGGGGAGUAUCCAGGGCCUGAAAAGAAACUCACCCCUUGUAAAGACCUCUUGGGCCUUCUGUACGCAAGACCUGUAACCACACAUCAUAACACACAGUAUAAGGACAUGAUCAAGUUCUUAAUCUUGGGGCUGUGAGGUUCAAGAUGAUCCACAGAGUCUAUAGAAGCAUCUGAUAGCUUUUUCACAACCAAUUUAUUUAAUGUGCGACUCUGUUACAGGAACAAAUGAAUGGGACUCAAAAAUAAGCAAAAGCUGUGCAGUAGAAAGAAUAGGAUUCGACUUCAUUACCUGAUAUGCACAAUGAAAUCCAUUUCUAUAGCUUCCAACUCUUUCGGAUUCCUGUUGCAGCAUGAGACGGGUUUUUAUCAUGUCUACGGGUGCUGUCAGGAGGGUACUCACCAAGCCUGCAACUGUGCUCGAGCUUCAUAAGGUGCGAAAUAUAGUUAGUUUUGCUAAAUAACCUUUUAAUACACAUCAGAAAAUGAAUAGCUCAUAUUCUAAACACAAACAAGGACAGUCUCUUACACAGAAAAAGCAAGUUUUCAAUCAACUAUAUGUCCCAAAAUGAAUAUACAUAUAUAUAAUCAGAUUUAUUUAUUUUUUACUGCAUGUGCGUUUGUAUGUAUAUCAAUGACAGUGACUUUGAAUGGUUUAUAAAACAGUUGAUUUUCAGUACAAAUGUCAAAUCUACUUCACUUGACAAAAUUGGAAGAUCUCAGACAAUAAGUUUUAUAAUUAGGCAGUGUCAUACGUGAGAUGUAGAUGGAAUCCUUCUUCAAGUGGUGUCAAUCUAAUCAACAUCUGCAAUAUCAGGAAGUUCAUAGAAUCAAAAGGAAGCUAAACAGAGUUACUUUUUGUACCAGCGAUCACACAUUAAUGAUUAGAAACUGGAAAUUACUUCGUGGAUAUUCAAAGUGAAAAAUAGCAUGCUUAGAACUUGACCCGCUUCGUUUCAUCAUAGGUUGCAAGUUGUGAUGCAGUCAAUGUAGCAGCUCUAGCCAUAGCAGGUCCAACUCCCUUCCAAAGAGCUUUCACUCCCUCUUCAGAAAUGAUUGCACGGAGUUCUCUGGCUGCUCCUUUCCUCAAGUUCGGAUUCAUCUGUAGUCGCACCUAAUGGUAGGAGACAAAUGACAUUUUAAGUCAAGUUUGAAAACAUAAAAAGAAUAAGUUCAAUAGGUCUUGCAUGGUGCCAUUACCUUCAAAACCUCAACCGGAUUCGUCAGUGCAGUUGCAACUGCACCACUGAAUCCUGCGGAUCCAAUCUUAACAAAAACAUUGUUGGACCCAAAUGCCCAAUUGCAGGCAUACUUUGAGGGUUCAUACAAGCCUAGACGGAGACCUCCAUAAAGCACGGACCUUGUCAAUGCAGGCGUCAAUCCCAGAUACAAAAACCUCGGUCCUUCAUUCUUAAAAACUUGAAGAAACAAUCGACCCUGUACAACACCCUCAUAAUGUCACAAUCAACCUACUCCAAUCCAUGCGAACAAGAAUACAAGUACUAAGGAGUCAAGCUAAGGAAAAAGGUACCAUUCCAGUAAGAGGACCUUUCUGCCCAACAAGUUGCAUUUGCAGCCUCACUUUGAGCACAUCUGCAUCCCAAAUCGAGAAACAUCUUAAAUCCUAGCUUCUAUAUACCAAUCCGAAGUAUGUCAAUAAUUUCUUCCUAUAAAUGAUGUCCUAAGCUAAGCUAUUACCAAAUCUACCAAACAAAAACUCCAACAUAACACAAAGCUAUAUAAAUAACAAACUUUAAGCUAUGAAACUAUGCCCACAUACAUUCUGAAUGCAACAUCACAAACAUUAUGCAAAAAGUGCCAAAAGUAAAAUUCUUUUUCAGUUACCUAAAGGGUGAGUUACUACGGUAGCCACCGCAACGGAGAGUCCACUUGUACCGAAAUGAUAGGCCACACCGGACGGUGACACCAACCCCCACCUCGGCUUCUCAUCCGCUUUCAUUCUCCCUGGAAAAAUUACCAUAAAACCUUCAAAUACUCAACUCUAAGUUUCCGUUAAAGAUCUGAAAUGCCUGCGAUCCCAGAAAGUUGAAGCCUUUCGGAUAAAAGCCUACAACUUUGUGUUUCAUUUUCAACCAACACAGAAGAAAAGUAAAUUCCGGCGGUGAAAGAAGGACAGAACCUGAAAGAAAGCCCAGAUUUUCCGGGACGCAGAUUUCGCUUCCUCCCUCCGAGUUUCUCUCCGUCAACUUUGGAGGGCCUCCGACUUUUCCGCUGCUCUGUCCGAAUAAGAAAAUUCGGAUGACAAAACGACGCAUCGGUUUUUAUAUCCUCUUCCGCCAAAACGAUAAACGACGCGUCGUUUAGUCCUCUCCAUUUUGGGCUUUGAGAAUCAUGGACGUUUUCAUUUAAAACCGGAAAAGCCCAGAAGCAUCGUAUCUCUUCUUUUCUCUCUUUUCUAGGGUUUGAAUCACUUCAGUGCUUCUCAGCUCUCGGAUUUCCAGGGAUUCAGAGCAAUGCCUCGGUAAGACUCUCUUUAUUAUUCGAUCAAGUAGUGAGCUUGUAGAAUUUCUAUUCUGCGUAUUUGAUUUCGGCAUCUAAUUGUUUUUUUUUGGCUCAAUUUUCAGGUACUACUGCGAUUACUGCGAUACGUAUUUGACUCACGAUUCGGUAAAGUCCUCUCCGUCUUCUUCUUGUUUUGGAUUGAAUUUUGAAUUGUGAUUUCGUUGUUUAUAGGAGGUAAUAGAUUUAAGUGUCGGAUUGAGCUGGAAUAGAAGAAUUGGGUUUACGAAUUUGGGUUUAAUGGAAUUUAAAUAGGAGAAUAGGGCACCUUCUAGUUGAUGAAAGUUUGGGAUACCUUGGGGUUAGUGUAAUCUGAGUUUUGGUUUUUCGAGAUUUAUCGUUUGCUCAAUGAUGAAGUUUUUGUUUCUUGGUGUUCUGCAGCCUUCGGUUCGAAAGCAGCACAAUGCGGGUUACAAACACAAGGUAAUACCGGUUUGUUGUUUCUGUGUCAUUACUGUUUUGUAUACUGGUUUUAUGCGUUGGUUUUGCUAAUUUGGUGUAUAAUUGCACAGGCAAAUGUGCGGCAGUACUACCAGCAAUUUGAGGAGCAACAGAAUCAGAGUUUGAUUGACCAGAAGAUCAAGGAACUUAUUGGCCAAAAUGCAGCCUACGGGCAAGUUGGCGCUGCUUACAAUCAACAUCUAAUGGCUCGGCCUCGCAUGCCUAUUCUACCAAAUCCUAUGAUGCAACAAAUGCCGGGAGGUCCACCAAUGGCCCCAGGGGGGAUUAGGAUUCCUGUUUUGCCUAGACCGCCAAUGGGUGCUCCAGGUAAUGUGGAUUGCUUCAGCGUAAUUGUUAUUUUUUUUAAAAAAUUUAUGUGCGCAUGCAUAUUGUGGAGCACAUUUUCUAGUUUGUGCUGCUUCACCAAGCCAAUGCUAUUUAUUGUUUUGGCAUAUUUCUAUCCAUCUUUAUGAUGCAUACACAUUAUUGUGAUUGGCUUGAUGAUAUUGCGAAUAUCACAUACCUAGUUGCUGUCCUUACAAUUUUUCUGCAAGGGAUUAGAGUUUAUACUUGAUUUUAAUCUUGUGGCCAG